UUUUUUUUCACGUGUAAUAAGAACGAGGAUCACUCGUGUCAUGCAUGCCGUCUUGGUAAACAUGCUCGUCUUCCGUUUAGGGCUUCUUCCUUUGUUGCAUCGUACCCGUUUGAGUUGAUUCAUAGUGAUGUUUGGACAUCUCCUCCUGUAAGUAAUACGGGCUUUCUUUAUUACCUUGUCAUCCUUGAUGAUUUUUCGCAUUAUGUGUGGACCUUCCCGUUGCGCCGCAAGUCGGACGUUAUCUCCACUCUUGUCGGUUUCUACUCUUAUGUCCGCACGCAGUUUGGCCGGCCCAUUCUUGCGUUGCAGACAAACAACGGGAAGGAAUUUGACAACACCGCUGUCCGCGAUCUUCUCGCCACACAUGGCAUGAUUUUUCGUCUCACUUGCCCGUACACCUUGCAGCAGAACGGUCGUGCUGAGCGCAUCCUUCGCACUCUUAAUGACUGCGUUCGGACUCUUCUCUUUCACGCCAAUGUGCCUCCGCGCUUUUGGCUUGACGCUCUAGCCACCGCUUCCCUCCUCAUAAACAUCCGUCCAUGUCGUCCUCGCGGGAACUUUACACCUCACCACCUUCUCUUCGGUGCACCCCCCUCUUAUGAAGGGCUUCGCAUUUUCGGCUGCCUGUGCUACCCUAGCAUCGCUGCCACUGCGCCUCAUAAGCUCGCACCCCGCUCCGUUGCCUGCAUCUUUCUCGGCUACCCACCUAACACUAAGGGCUACCGCUGCUACGAUCCAGUCUCUCACCGUGUUUUCACCUCCCGACACGUUUACUUUGAUGAGAUGGUCUUCCCGUUUCAGCAGCAGGCACCCCUCGUCGUCUCGUCACCGCCGGCCACCGCCGGCCCAUCGACGGCCUCGUCAGGUGGACGAGCACGCCUGGUUCGUGGACCGCCUCCGGGCUUUGGCAGUCCACGGGCCCUACUGCCGGCGCCCUCUANNNNNNNNNNNNNNNNNNNNNNNNNNNNNNNNNNNNNNNNNNNNNNNNNNNNNNNNNNNNNNNNNNNNNNNNNNNNNNNNNNNNNNNNNNNNNNNNNNNNNNNNNNNNNNNNNNNNNNNNNNNNNNNNNNNNNNNNNNNNNNNNNNNNNNNNNNNNNNNNNNNNNNNNNNNNNNNNNNNNNNNNNNNNNNNNNNNNNNNNNNNNNNNCUCGCCGGCCGCCUCGCCGGCACCGGUGGCCCCGUCCGGUCCUGUCACCCGUGCUCGCGCCGGCAUUCACUGCCCGAGUCUCCGCUACUCGCGUGACGAGUACGUCCUCGCCGCCUCUGCUGCAGAGCCGUCACCCAUUCCUGCGUCCGCCCGCGCCGCCCUCCGUGAUCCUCACUGGCUUGCGGCGAUGCAGGAAGAGUUCGACGCUCUCCAACGGAACCGUACCUGGACUCUGGUUCCCCGGCCUCCUCGCGCCAACGUCAUCACCGGCAAGUGGGUCUUCCGUCAUAAGACCCGCUCAGACGGUUCACUUGAGCGCUACAAGGCUCGUUGGGUGGUCCGCGGUUUUCGCCAGCGCGCUGGAGUUGAUUUCACGGAGACGUUCGCCCCGGUUGUCAAACCGGGCACGAUCCGCACUGUCCUCCAGCUCGCUGUUUCUCGCGGCUGGCCCGUUCACCAGAUGGAUGUCUCCAACGCCUUCCUCCACGGCCAUCUUGAGGAGCAGGUGUUUUGUGAGCAACCCACCGGUUUCGUCGACGCCUCAUUCCCCGGCCAUGUGUGCCUGCUGUCGCGCUCUCUUUACGGGCUCAAGCAGGCUCCCCGCGCCUGGUACCAGCGGAUCGCCGGGUUUCUUCAGACACUGGGCUUCAGCGUCACUCGCUCGGAUGCCUCACUGUUUGUCUAUCGCCACGGUGACACGACUGCAUAUUUGCUGCUUUACGUCGACGAUAUCAUCCUGACAGCCUCCUCCGCAGCCGUUCUUCAGCAGAUUACUCUCCGGCUGCGUGACGAGUUCGCUAUCAAGGACCUGGGUGCUCUCCAUUAUUUCCUUGGCAUUGAGGUCGUUCGGCGUCCGGACGGUUUCUUUCUUCAUCAACAGAAGUAUGCCCAUGAGCUUCUUGAGCGCGCUGGCAUGCUCAACUGCCAUCCGGUUGCUACUCCUGUUGACACGAAGGCCAAGGUUUCUGCUCUUGCGGGUUCGCCUGCGUCGGAUGCUCCGUUCUACCGGUCUAUUGUCGGCGCCCUACAGUACUUGACUCUCACCAGACCGGAUCUUCAGUAUGCUGUCCAGCAGGUGUGUCUCCACAUGCACGCCCCUCGUGACUCUCACUGGACUCUCGUGAAGCGGAUCCUUCGCUACAUCCGCGGCACGAUGUCCCUUGGGUUGACACUCACGGCGUCCACUUCUCUGGAGAUGGUGGCUUACUCCGAUGCAGACUGGGCCGGCUGCCCCGACACUCGUCGGUCCACCUCUGGCUACUGCGUCUACCUCGGUCCUUCCCUCGUCUCGUGGUCGUCCAAGCGACAACCCACGGUUUCGCGCUCUAGCGCGGAGGCUGAGUACCGAGCUGUGGCCAAUGCUGUCGCCGAGUGCACCUGGCUUCGACAGUUACUUCAGGAGCUACAUCACGAUGUCUCCCAGGCUACGGUUGUCUACUGCGACAACGUCUCUGCGGUGUACCUCUCCGCCAACCCCGUUCAACAUCGCCGGACGAAACACGUCGAGCUGGACAUUCACUUUGUGCGCGAGCAGGUGGCUCUUGGACGCAUGCGGGUUCUCCAUGUGCCGACUGCUCAGCAGUUCGCUGAUGUGAUGACGAAGGGACUGCCGACUUUCACCUUUGAGGAGUUUCGUUCCAGUCUCUGCGUCACUGGCGCCGCUUCGACUGCGGGGGGGUGUUGAGUAUAUUGUGUACGUGUAUAUGUGUGUGUAGGGCUCACCUCCUGUUUUCCUUGUAUAGUUGAGGUUGUGGUCCACCUCUGUACUUAUAUAUACGUGUCUGGUGCACCGAUCAAUAUAUCGCGAUUGCACAGCCAUAACUUGUCCUUCUACAUAUCCCACGGACUGUAGUAGUGAUGGUGGAAAAACGUAUCAGCGUCGCGUGUUCUCCACUCCCGGAAUUCAUCGAUCGCUUGCUCCGGCCAGGAGCCUGCGGUUGAAAUGUGCCUCGGAUGACAAGCGGGCGAUCGACCUCGUAUGGUGGAGGUGAAAACUAGUGUAACUACUAAUGACAAGUUUAGGCCAUUGUUUUCUCAAAAGCAGCCAAUAAAAACAACCAACUUGCACUUCUCCACUCGAGCAACCAGACCCAGCCGGCCAUGUGGCAGCACCAACGUUUCCACAGAUUUCUCACGCCCAAAGCGAGAUUUCCCUCCAUCACAGAAGCUACCUGAGAAAGUCCUAAGUAAACAUUUAAAAAUAAACAAGGAAAAUAUAGGAGGAGUACUAGCACUUCCCUAUCAGAUGAUGUCCAAUUGUCUGGUUAUAUCAUCCAAUAAUGCCCCAGGAAAAAUCUCUCUUCAUUUCUGAAUUCGUGGCCUUUUGUCUCACCCUGCAAACUUUAAACUUUCAGGCUUUUCAGCGCUCGAAUAGCCCCAGCGCUACGGCCUCGCACUAUAAAUAUGACCCCCCCUGGCCUCUGCUUCUGCACAGACAUCGAUCUUUCUCUACUUGUUCUUCUUCCCAUCGCCGGCCUCUGUGCCCCAGUGUGAGAGCAAUGGUAGUUCUCGGGGGAAGAGUUGCAUGGGCAUGCUCGGUGCUGCUGCUGUUGCAGCUCGCCGGGGCGUCGCAUGUCGUCUACGAGACCCACCUCCUGGAGGCGGAGGCGGCGGCGGCCGACGUGCCGCCUUCGAUUCUUGACCCCGAGCUGAGCACGGGGUACCACUUCCGGCCGAUAAAGAACUGGAUCAACGGUACAUGCCCACUGACCCAUCUCUCCUGCUCGAGCUAGAGCGAAGCUUAGAGCUAGCUAGGCAGACCUCCUUCUUUUGCAUGGCUAAAGAAACCAACGGUGUGUAGUAGCACUAGCUCGUCCUUGCUCUUCGGACAACUGAACUUCAAAACCAUGCAUGGCCGGCGGAGGGUGGGUGGUCAGUUUCUUGGGCCAUACAAGAAACUUUCGUAAUCGUGUCCAUUUAUGUUUUGUUACUAAAUUUAGCUAGGUCAUACGGUGCUCAGUUUGUGUAGUACCACUAUACUGCUUUACAAGAAGCAAUAACAUGCAUGCUUUAGGACUAGCUCUCAGUGAACUGACUACGGUCACGGGGCUCCUCCGGUGUCCAGUGAGCUAGAGCUGCUUUAGCUAGCUUGCACUUGUGUGGCCUGAGCAGUAUCCUACUCCUAAUACCGUGGAUUAGUUUAAUAACGAUGCAUAUAUUUUAUUUUAUUUGCAAAGGUUUAUAACUGGCUCUAACUUGACGGGUUUUUUUUAUCAUCAUCAUGUUGGUGGUUGCCGGAUGCCACGCCAGAUCCCAACGGUACGUCGUCCUUCUCCCGCGCUUGUUUUAAUAUCCUGUCACGCGUCUCUGUCGCGUCUUCAAUUUGAUGCUAUCUGCUACAAGAAUCCGUGUUCUGCAACUUGCAACCCCGUUGAACAGCAACGCCUUUUCGUCCUGAUUAUACGUACUAGCUAAACAACACAUAUACAGGCAUGCAUGCAUGCAUGCUGCAUGGCUCGUGAACUCGCAGCCCCAUACACAAACCAUUAACGAAUGAAAAUAAUUGGCUCGCCAUUAACCUUCACUGAGAUAAUCUCUUCAUGGGAAUGUGAACUGGACUUGUGAUUUGGUGAAAUUUGGUGCAUGCAGCGCCCAUGUUCUACAAGGGGUGGUACCAUUUCUUCUAUCAGUACAACCCCAAGGGGGCGGUGUGGGGCAACAUCGUGUGGGCGCACUCGGUGUCGCGCGACCUCAUCAACUGGGUGGCGCUGGAGACGGCCAUCCAGCCCAGCAUCAAGUCCGACAAGUACGGCUGCUGGUCGGGCUCGGCCACCAUCCUGCGCGACGGCACGCCGGCGAUCAUGUACACGGGCAUCGACCGCGGCGACAUCAACUACGAGGUGCAGAACAUCGCCUUCCCCAAGAACAAGUCGGACCCGCUGCUCCGCGAGUGGGUCAAGCCCAAGAGCAACCCGAUCAUCGUGCCGGAGGGCGGCAUCAACGCCACCCAAUUCCGGGACCCGACCACCGCGUGGUACGCCGACGGCCACUGGCGGCUGCUCAUCGGCGCCCUCUCUGGCGCGUCCCGCGGCGUGGCGUACGUGUACCGGAGCCGCGACUUCAUGCGGUGGACGCGGGUGAGGAAGCCGCUGCACUCGGCGCCCACGGGGAUGUGGGAGUGCCCGGACCUGUACCCGGUCACGGUGGACGGCCGGCAGAACGGGCUCGACACCUCCGUCACGUCCAGCCCCAAGGUGAAGCACGUGCUGAAGAACAGCCUCGACCUGCGCCGCUACGACUACUACACCGUCGGCACCUACGACCGGAAGACGGAGCGGUACGUGCCGGACAACCCCGCCGGCGACGAGCACCACCUGCGGUACGACUACGGCAACUUCUACGCCUCCAAGACGUUCUACGACCCCGUCAAGCGCCGCCGCAUCCUCUGGGGCUGGGCCAACGAGUCCGACACCGCCGUCGACGACGUCGCCAAGGGAUGGGCCGGAAUCCAGGUAGCUGCCUAAUCAUAUCAUAUGCUGGUGUACGUAGUAACCAAAAAACUUUCACGUGCACCAUGCAUGCAUGGUCUCAGUUAUUAUCCGUGUGAUAUUUUCAGGCGAUUCCGAGGAAGGUUUGGCUGGACCCGAGUGGGAGGCAGCUGAUGCAGUGGCCCGUGGAGGAGCUUGAGGCGCUGAGGGCGAAAAAGCCGGUGAGUCUCAAGGACCGGGUGGUGAAGCGGGGAGAGCACGUCGAGGUCACCGGGCUACGAAGCUCACAGGUGAGCGUGCGUGCCUUUCUGAGUUAGUUCGUGUGCAAUCAAGGUGACAUUUUCUAGUCUAGGACCAAAAGGCGAUCGAGAUCACUAUGUACGUACUGCCUUGCCUUGAGUGGCGCCGGCCCUGCAGAAUAUAUUGCCCAGCCAGUAGUAUGUGUUAUCCUGGACCGUGCUAUCUUAUCCGGCGCGCUUCUCAUCCGAGUUGUGUCCAGUGUGCAGUGCCCACUCUCUUGUGCCUUUUCUACUCCGUAGAUUUCACUACACCUGUCCUGCACUUUAACCUCAGCUCGGCGUCAUGCGUUCUGUUCCGGUCCAUUACAGCUUAGAAAACUAGACUCGUCGUCACGCGCACAUUGGCAUUGGCCUUGCACGCACACCUCCAAUCUAGCUAGGCUCCAACUGAACUGGUGCAACCUAACAAUAGAUCGUUUUAAUUUGACCAACAUAAUGUCUGUUCCCUUUUGUAAGCGUGUGGUGAUGAGUUCAUGGUUAAGUACCGGACUAACUUGUUUCAUCAGGCUGACGUCGAGGUGAGCUUUGAGGUGCCGAGCCUGGAGGGAGCGGAGGCGCUGGACCCGGCGCUAGCCAACGACGCCCAGAAGCUGUGCAGCGUGAGGGGUGCCGACGUGGAAGGCGGCGUGGGCCCCUUCGGUCUGUGGGUGCUCGCCUCGUCCAAGCUGGAGGAGAAGACGGCGGUCUUCUUCCAGGUGUUCAAGGCCGCGCGCAACAUCAACAGCACCAAGCCGGUGGUCCUCAUGUGCUCCGACCCCACCACGUAAUGACAUCUCCUGAUCCUCAUUUCUCCCUUAAAUUCAUUAUUUCUCACGCAUGUGACAUGCACACAUUAGCUAGCGUUGAUUUAAUGUUGGGCUUCUUUGCUCGGUGCAGGUCAUCUUUGAACCCGAACCUCUACAAGCCGACGUUCGCAGGCUUUGUUGAUACUGACAUAGCGAAGGGCAAGAUAUCUCUGAGGAGCCUGGUACGAUAUUGGCUACCAUAUGUUCCUCAUCUCGUACAUACAAUAUAUAAGUUAACAAAUGGAUCAUUCGUACUGAUUUUGUUUGCCCAUACUUUCUCUGUCUAGAUUGAUCGGUCCGUCAUCGAGAGCUUCGGGGCAGGAGGCAGGACCUGCAUCCUCUCCCGGGUUUAUCCAACGCUCGCCCUAGGCAAGAACGCUCACCUUCAUGUUUUCAACAACGGCAAGGCGGACAUCAAGGUGUCACAGCUCACGGCGUGGGAGAUGAAGAAGCCAGCGCUCAUGAACGGUGCUUAGAAUUUAGGGUGGAUAUCUACAUGCAGGCUUCCUAUACAUGUGCCUGAAUUUGGCUCACGUUCUGUUAAAUUGGUCUCUGGUGAAACAUGAUUGGUCUGUGAGGGUACGUAUGUAGCUAGGUUUGCACGUAGUAUAAGUGCACUACGAAGGGAUCAUUUUGCCCGUAGGAACAAUAAAAGUUCUAUGCAUAUUCUGUCGUGCGCAUUGGUGGAAAGUAUAUAUAUUGUCGGGCGAGUUUUAGCUUCCAAGGUUGCACUCUCUCUAUCUAGCCAUUAUAUCAGUAAAGGAAAGGUUCAUUUUUGUGAAUAUGACCAUCGCCGGGUUUACAUCUGGUCUCUAAACCCUACAACCUGACAAGCUUCACCCAUGACGUUUACAUUAUUUAAUUCAUUUUUUUUUCAAAAAUCAGCCACUUAGAAGUGUAGAUCACUCCUGUAAAAAUUACAUUACCUAAAAUUAAAAUCUUAAUAACAAUAAGCAAAAUGAAACUACAAAUUUAUUAAGUGAGAUUAAGAUUAGGAUGUUCGACCUUGUUUUCUAAGGCUUUCAGACUCCCGAAGUGGGGGCAUAGCAAGUAGUAGCAUCAAUGUAUCAUGCAUGCUAAGUUGCUAACUUGGCAAUUUGGUUGAGGUGCAAUGCCAUUAAAUGAAGAGCAUAUUAAGCGAUGUGUCACUGUGCGCCAUGCAAAACAAUAAAUGUGUUCAUCUAAAUACUAACAUAGAUACUAUGCACUGCAAAAGUAGUACUAGUGUGUGAUAUACUCCACCAGAAGUAGCCUUAGAAAAAGGACCCAAAUGCAAAGACUUGACAGCAAAAUAAGUAGACAAUUAAUAGCGAUUAAUUUUAGACAUAUUUUGUCCACGAGCCACUUUAAAGAUACAACCAAUGACACUGCUAUAUGUCAAUUGGGCCAAUUGGAUUGGGGGUCGGGGCGGGGGCGGGGAGCCUCUCACGCCGAUUAGACCUAAGUAAUGACUUGGACCGCCUCAUCAUCGCAACCAAGGGGCUGCCAAAACCUUUCUUUCUGAGAUUUGAUAAUACGUGUGUAACACCCUCGAUGCGACUAUAGCUCCCACGUGUCGAGGCACGACUUAGAGACAUAAUCGCACUGAAGGCAUAUGUCGCAAGUUAGGCAAUCUUCAUAACAUCCCAUGCAAUAUAAUGAUAAAAGGGGAGAUAACAUAGUUGGCUUACACUCGCCACGUCAAUCAAAUACAUAAAUAACAUUACAUCAUCCAAAACACUCAUGGCCCGACUACGGCGCCAAAAUAAAAGAGAACCCAACAUGCGACAACGGUCCCGUUCACCCCCAACUGGGCACCACUACUGAUCAUCGGGAAAGGAAACAUAGUAUCGCUGAGAGUCUUCGUCGAACUCCCACUUGAGCUCGUACUCGUCACCUGGAGCGGAAUCACCUGGACCUGCAUCUGGAGUUAUGGUAUCUGUGAGCCACAGGGACUCAGCAAUCUCGCACCCUCGCGAUCAAGACUAUUUAAGAUUAUAAGAAGGGUAAGGCAAAACAUAUGUGGAGCUACAGCAAGCGACUAACAAGUAUGGUGGCUAACUUAUUCGCAAAGGAGAGCGAGAAGAGGAGGCAAAGCGCGAGCGAGAAACUAGAGAGCUACCUGCGCAAACAUUACUCCAACACCGUGUCCACUUUCCGGAUUCCGCCGAGAAGAGGCCAUCACGGUAACACACUCGGUUGAUUCAUUUUAAUUAAUUUAAGGUUUAAGUUAUCUACAACCGGACAUUAACAAAUUUCCAUCUGCCCAUAACCGCGGGCACGGCUUUCGAAAGUUCAAUCCCUGCAGGGGAGUCCCAACUUAGCCCAUGACAAGCUCUCACGGUCAACGAAGGAAUAGACCUCCUCUCAAGACGUUCCGAUCAGACUCGGUAUCUCGGUAACUCAAGACACUUCGACAGGUUAAAACAAGACCAGCAACACCGCCCGAAUGUGCCGACAAAUCCCGAUAGGAGCUGCACAUAUCUCUUUCUCAGGGCACACUCAGAUGAGACAUCCUACGAGUAAAACCAACCCUCAAGUUGCCCCGAGGUGGCCCCGCAGUCUACUCGGUCGGACCAACACUCAGAGGAGCACUGGCCCGGGGGGGGGUUUAAAAUAAGAUGACCCUUGGGCUCCGGUAACCCAAGGGAAAAGAGGCUAGGUGGCGAAUGGUAAAACCAAGGUUGGGCAUUGCUGGAAAAGCUUUAAUCAAGGCAAACUAUCAAGGGGUUCCCAUUAUAACCCAACCGUGUAAGGAACGCAAAAAUCCGGGAACAUAACACCGAUAUGACGGAAACUAGGGCGGCAAGAGUGGAACAAAACACUAGGCGAGAGGCCGAGUCUUCCACCAUUUACCAAGUAUAUAGAUGCAUUAAGAUAGCAAGAUAAUAUAAUGAUAUCCCAACAAGUAAAUAAAAGAUGUUCCAACAAGGAACGGCCUCCAAUCUUCACCUGCAACUAGCAACGCUAUAAGAGGGGCUGAGCAAAGCGGUAACAUAGUCAAUCAACGGUUUGCUAGGCCAAUGAUGGGUUAGAGGCUUGACAUGGCAAUUUGGGAGGCUUGCAAGCAAGUGGUAGGCAUCGUAGCAAUGGCAUAGCAAAAGAGCGAGCAAACUAGCAUAGCAAAGAUAGUAGUGAUUUCGAGGGUAUGAUCAUCUUGCCUGCAAAGCUGUCAGAGUUGACUGGAUCCUCAAAAGCAAACUCAACGGGCUCCUCGUUAGUGAACUCGUCUCCCGGCUCUACCCAAACAAGACAAACAAGCAACAAGGAUAUAAUCAACCACGUGCAAACUCAAUCAACACGAUGUGAAGAUGAUAUGCUAUGCGGGAUGCUAUGCGGGAUGCAAAAUGCAAGAUAUGACAGGAAAUGCAUGAACCUGGCCUCAACUUGGAAUUUCAAGGGUGCCACUGGAAAGAUGAGAUGAAAUCGCUUGAAAACGAUAUAAAGAACGCCGGAAUCGGAGUUACGGUUUGGAAAUGGCAAGCGUUUCAAAUAUGACACCGGUCUACGAUUUACAGCAAGUAGGCAUCUAAAUGCAAUAAAAUGAACAUGCUACAGCCCCCAAACAUGACAACAAAAUACAUGGCAGGGAUGCACACAAGAUGCUUAACAAAAGUCUAGCACUGAGCUACGGCCAAUUCAUCCAUUAACAGGUUCAAACAAGCAUGGCAAAAACGCAAAUGGUAAAACAGAUCUCAGACUUAGUGAAAUCAACACUUGUCUGGAAUUUCAGAUCACGAAGCCCUCUUCGGAGCAGAAAAACAACAUGAUACAUAACCUGAUUAAGACACGUAAGAACAUGGCAUGGAGCUACUCAACAAGCUUAACAAAAGACCCAAAGUGACCUGGGGCCAAAAGGGUUCACAAAACAUACUAACGGGCACACGAACAUAGCUAAAACACAAUCAGUUUUCAGACUUAGUGAAAACUGAGACAUGCUGAAAUAUAACUCACGAAGGCAUGUAAACGAGCUCGAUGCACUCACUACGGUGCAAGUCAUGGCAAGGCAAGCAUACAUCCAUUAAGAAGGCACAAAAUGCUAGCUAGACAUGGCAAGAACAAAGGCAUAGCAUGCACGAAUCAACUACAAUAGCAUCGGCAAAAUCACAAACGAGUUGACGAUCUGCCCAGAUUCACCACGAAGCAAAAGUAGAACUCGAUUGACUCAAGCUAGGGUGCUCCAAAAUUGCAAACAAAGACAUGAAUGGAUAGAGAAUAACAAGGUUAACAAAACUCCUUUACUGAUCAUCCUCAAAAGAGGCAUGGAUCACUAGGAAACAAGCUGAACAUAUGGCAUCAUGAACUAAAUAAUCCCAGACUUAGUGAAAACUACUAAGUCCCAGAAAACAGAUUUACCGGGUGCCUCACUUUGCAAGCUUGCACAAGUCACCAUACACAUCCUAAAAAUGCAUGGAUUGCACCUCUGGAAAGAUAACAAGAUGCUUAACAAAACAUAUGAAGGACUCACAGGCAUAUUAUGCACACAAUAAUCAUGGCAAAAAUGACAAAAAUCUAAGAUGAACUAGCAGAUCUGACAAUUAACUCACGAAGCCCUCUUCUAACAGCAUUUCGGGCAUCAAGAUGAGCUCUAAUGAAAAUGAUGCAAUGGAAUGAAAUGAUGUACUCAUCGAGGCGAACAUUUUUAUAUACUAUAUGUCCAAAACGGAGCUACGGAUGCGGAGAUAUAGCUGGUCAAAGUAAGCAUAAAAAAUUAGAGGGAGAGGGGGAAAAGUCAACCCUAGGGUUUUUUAGAUCUGGAUCUGGCGCGCACGGACUUCGAGGCACGCCGGAGUUCACUGUUCACCGCCGAAGACCGUGGCGGCCGGAGCUCGUGGGGCUGCGAGGGAGGCCGAAGGAGAGGCCGGGGNNNNNNNNNNNNNNNNNNNNNNNNNNNNNNNNNNNNNNNNNNNNNNNNNNNNNNNNNNNNNNNNNNNNNNNNNNNNNNNNNNNNNNNNNNNNNNNNNNNNNNNNNNNNNNNNNNNNNNNNNNNNNNNNNNNNNNNNNNNNNNNNNNNNNNNNNNNNNNNNNNNNNNNNNNNNNNNNNNNNNNNNNNNNNNNNNNNNNNNNNNNNNNNNNNNNNNNNNNNNNNNNNNNNNNNNNNNNNNNNNNNNNNNNNNNNNNNNNNNNNNNNNNNNNNNNNNNNNNNNNNNNNNNNNNNNNNNNNNNNNNNNNNNNNNNNNNNNNNNNNNNNNNNNNNNNNNNNNNNNNNNNNNNNNNNNNNNNNNNNNNNNNNNNNNNNNNNNNNNNNNNNNNNNNNNNNNNNNNNNNNNNNNNNNNNNNNNNNNNNNNNNNNNNNNNNNNNNGGCUCCCGGGCCGCGGCGGCGGGGUCAGACGAGCGCCACGUGGUGCGGCUUGAUUGGCGGCGGCGAUUUCGUCCGCUAGGAGGCGGACAUGUCCGGCGGCGGAGGGAUGAAUUUUUAGGGUUUCGGGGAGAGGGGAGAUCCGAAAACGGAUGGGUCUUUAAAUAGGCAUAGAGGGAGCUAGGAGAGUCCAAAUAAGGUGCGGUUUUCGGCCACGCGAUCGUGAUCGAACGCUCUAGGACAUGGAGCAGAGUUUGGUGGGUUUUGGGCCAAAAUGGAGGGGUGUUGGGCUGCAACACACACGAGGCCUUUUCGGUCCCUCGGUUAACCGUUGGAGUAUCAAACGAAGUCCAAAUGAUACAAAACUUGACAAGCGGUCUACCGGUAGUAAACCAAGGCCGCUUGGCAAGUCUCGGUCCAAUCCGGAAAUGUUUAAUCCUCACACAUGAAAGAAAGCUAGAAAUGACCACCGGAGGAGAACGAAGCGCCGGAAUGCAAAACGGACAACGGGAAAAAAGCUCGAAUGCAUGAGACGAACACGUAUGCAAAUGCAAUGCACAUGACGACAUGAUAUGAGAUGCAUGAAAACGAAAACAACACACAGAGACAAAGACCCGAACCCGAGAAAUAAAUAUAACUUAACGCCGGAAACGGCAAGAGUUGGAGUACAAAUUGGGAAAGUUAUAUCCGGGGUGUUACAACACUCCACCACUACGAAAGGAUCUCGUCCCGAGAUCUAGGACUGAAAGAACGCCGGGUACUCAGAACGGAGGUGAUCCUCGCGUUCCCAGGUAGCUUCAUGGUCGGAAUGGUGUGACCAUUUGACUUUGAGAAAUUUGAUUGACUUGUUGCGAGUCUUGCGUUCAGUCUCUUCAAGAAUAGCAACUGGGUGCUCACCAUAAGAGAGAUCUUCUUGGAGCUCAACAUCCUCGAAGUUGACUGUGCGGUCAGGAGUCUUGAAGCACUUUCGAAGCUGAGAGACAUGGAACACGUCAUGAACAUUUGCAAAGUUUGAAGGAAGCUCGAGUUGAUAGGCGAGGUCGCCUCUCUUGCUGACAAUCUUGAAAGGUCCCACGUAUCUGGGGCAAGCUUCCCUUUGAUACCGAAGCGACGAGUACCUUUCAUAGGAGAGACGCGGAGGUAAACAUGAUCUCCAAUCUCGAAAGCCAAAUCACGGUGCUUACUAUCAUAGUAGCUCUUCUGGCGGGAUUGGGCUGCUUUGAGGUUAUCACGAAUGACUUUGCACAUUUCUUCUGCUUCUGUGAUUAAGUCAUUACCCAGCAGCUGACGUUCACCGGUUUCAGACCAGUUGAGAGGGGUACGGCACUUCUUGCCAUACAGAAUUUCAAAUGGGGUCUUGCCCGAACUUGCUUGAAAACUAUUGUUGUAGGAGAAUGCAGCAUAAGGAAGACAAUCCUCCCACUUCAUGCCGAAGGAGAUCACACAAGCCCUGAGCAUAUCUUCAAGAAUCUGGUUGACACGCUCGACUUGACCGCUUGUUUGAGGAUGAAAAGCUGUGCUGAAGCGGAUGUUGGUGCCCAUGGCCUUAUGGAAAGAAUUCCAAAACUUGGAGGUAAAGAUGCUGCCACGGUCUGAAGAGAUCACUUGAGGAAUACCGUGCAGAGAGACAAUACGAGAGGUAUAGAGUUCCGCCAAUUGAGCUGCAGUGAUCGACUCUUUGAUAGGCAGAAAGUGAGCCACUUUGGUGAGUUUGUCGAUGACAACAAAUAUAACAUCAUUGACAUGCAUGGACUUUGGAAACCCAGUCACGAAGUCCAUCUUAAUGUGGUCAAACUUCCAUUCUGGAAUGGCAAGAGGUUGGAGGAGACCAGCUGGCCUUUGGUGUUCUGCCUUCACUCUUCUGCAAACAUCACAUUCAUUCACGAAUUGAGCGAUCUCGCGCUUCAUUCGAGUCCACCAAUAAACUUGCUUAAGGUCCUGAUACAUCUUCGUGCUCCCAGGGUGGAUGGAGAGGAGAGAAUUGUGAGCCUCGUUCAUGAUCACUUUACGGAGGUCACCUUUGGGCACAACAAUACGAUCCUCGAAGAAGAGAGUGUCCUUGUCAUCAAGGCGGUAGCACUUGUACUUGGACUGACUCUUGGCAAUCCCAAUCUUCACCUUUUUCACCAUAGCAUCAAGAAGCUGGGCUUGCCGAAUCUGGUCUUCUAAGGUAGGAGAGAUUUGAAGGUUGGCGAGGAAACCUUGAGGAACAACUUGCAGAUUCAGUUUGCGGAAAGCUUCACAAAGCUCGGGUUGAUAAGGCUUAAGAAUCAGACUGUUGCAAUACGUCUUUCUGCUCAAAGCGUCAGCAAUCACAUUGGCCUUGCCUGGAGUAUACUUGAUACUCGGAUUAUACUCUUGAAUCAUUUCGACCCAUCGAGUUUGUCUGAGGUUGAGAUUAGGCUGAGUGAAGAUGUACUUGAGACUCUUGUGAUCAGUGAAAAUGUCCACUUUUCUUUCCAAUAGAAGAUGUCUCCAAGUCAAAAGAGCAUGCACAACUGCCGCCAACUCGAGAUCAUGAGUGGGGUAGUUCUUCUCAUUAGGCUUCAGCUGGCGAGAUGUAUAAGCAACAACUUUCUUCUCUUGCAUCAAUACUGCGCCAAGACCUUGGAGAGAGGCAUCACAAAAGACCUCAUACGGCUUGGAUUCAUCAGGCGGAGUCAGAACUGGAGCAGUGAUCAAUUUCUCUUUCAAAGUGUUGAAAGCAAUAUCACACUCCGGAGACCAAAUGUACUUGACGUGCUUCUGAAGAAGAUUUAAGAGAGGCUUCGCGAUCUUAGAAAAGUUUUCAACGAAUCUUCGGCAAUAGCUUGCGAGACCGAGAAAACUGCGGAGUUGCUUCAUGUUCUGAGGAGGUUUCCAAUUCACAAUUGCAGACACCUUCUCAGGAUUCACGGCAAUGCCCUUGGCAGAGAUGAUAUGACCAAGAUAAAGAACCUCAUCAAGCCAAAAUUCACACUUGGAGAACUUGGCGUAGAACUGAUAUUCUCUGAGCUUAUCGAGAACCAAACGCAAGUGCUUGGCAUGAUCUUCCUUGUUCUUGGAGAAAACCAAAAUGUCGUCGAGAUAGACCAAAACGAAGUCAUUGGUGUAGGCGUUGAAGAUGAAGUUCAUAAUGCGAGAGAACGUCGGAGGAGCGUUGGCGAGGCCAAAAGACAUGACAGUGUAUUCAUAUGAACCAAAGCUUGUUCUGAAUGCUGUCUUGGGAAUAUCUUCUUCACGAAUGCGAAUGUGGUGAUAAUCCAUACGGAGAUCAAGCUUGGAGAAUACUUGGGCGCCUUUAAGUUGUUCGAACAGCUCAUUGAUGUUGGGAAGUGGGUAUUUGUUCUUGAUGGUCUUCUUGUUCACUGGACAGUAAUCAACACAAAGUCGAUCCGUUCCAUCCUUCUUCUUCACAAAAAGAACACCACAACCCCACGGAGAAGAACUAGGCCGGAUGAGACCCAUUUUCUCUUGCAUAUCGAGUUGCUUUUUCAGCUCUUUCAACUCUUCAGGUCCGAGCUUAUAAGGACGUUUGCACACAGGUUCCGUACCAAGCUCAAGAUCAAUAACGAAUUCAACUGGCCGGUGCGGAGGCAUUCCUGGGAGCUCUUCUGGAAAGACGUCUUGAUAUUCGCAAACGACUGGAAUUUUAAAGAUGGCAUCCAAUUCACCCUUCUCAUUGAGAGAAAACAGACGAAUAGUAUCAUCACGAGCGGCAAAGACAAUUACAUCCUCAGACGAAUGAGUCAAUUGAAUCUGCCUGGCUGCACAAUCAAGCUGAGCCUUGUGCUUAGAAAGCCAAUCCAUUCCGAGAAUAAGAUCAAUAUCCGAGUUACCAAGAACCACCGGAGAAGAGAGAAACUUGUAAUCGCCCAACGUGAUAGAGACAUCGGGAGCAACCAAACUAGAAGUCAAAAGCUUGCCGGGAGAAACAACUUGCAUGACUUUGGGCAUAAUCUCGGUAUCAACAUUGUGCUUCGAUGCAAAAGGGCAUGACAAAAAGAAAUGCGAUGCACCAGUGUCAAAAAGAACUUUUGCAGGAACAUCGUUAAUAGGAAGGUUACCCGUUAUCACAUCUGACGAGUCCUCUGCCUGAGUUGCAUUCAUCAAAUUGACCUUGGCAUGCUUGGGGUUAUGCUUGACCACAGAUGUACUUGCCGAUCUGACAGGAGGAGAAGGAGGAAGACGCCUCUGGUUGAAACACUUGUUGGCAUAGUGACCCUUCUAUUGGCACUUGUUGCACGUGACCUCUGAAAGCGGACGGUGAUAUGGAGCACUCGAUCUUGGAGCUUGAGACAAAGUCUUGUUCUGAAAGCCAGGGUUGGGUGGGUGGGAAGAACCACUGCCACCUUUGCUCUUCUGCUAAUACGGCUGACGGAACGGAGGAGGAGGAAGCCAAAACUUCUGCUGCUUGGCCACUUGAGUAGAGGAAGAAGGAGUAACAUCUCUGACUCGCUUCCUGGAAGCAUCACACCUCAACUGAGCAGCCUCUUGCUUCAGUGCCAUAUUGUAGAACUCAUCGUAUCUCAAGGGCUCGAAGAGAACAAGAGCGAGCUGAAUAUCUUCUCUGAGACCACCCCUGAACUGAUAUAUCAUGCUCUUCUCAUCAGGGACGUCCUGCUUGGCAAAACGGGCGAGUUUCUGGAACAACUUGUUGUAGUCAUAGACAGACAAAGAGCCUUGCUUCAGAUUGCGGAAUUCCUCACGCUUGCUUUCAACCACGCUCUGCGGAAUAUGAUGAGCUCGGAAAUCUCGACGGAAAUCAUCCCAAGUGAUAACAUGUCCACCUCUGGAAUCCUUGUACUGCUGGAACCAUUCUGCAGCUUGAUCUUUGAGUUGGAAGGAAGCGAACUUGACAAAGUCCUCAGGCCUGACGUUACUGCACUCGAAAUGCUUACACAGAUCCACAAGCCAAUCGUCAGCAUCGGUUGCCUCAACACAAUUGCUGAAAGUCUUUGGCCCGUUAGCAAGGACUGGUUAAGUGUAGCAAAGUGACUCUGAUUGCUGCCUUGAUUCCCAUGACUGCCUUGAUUGCGUUCUUGAAGAAUUUGCAUGAUCAGCUGUGUGUUUGCAUUGGUUGCGGCCAUCACAGCUUGCCAUGCCUCUGAAGGAGGUGGAGGUGGUGAUGGAUCAGGAUUCGGAGUCGUGCGUGUUGGAGGAGCCAUCCUGAAGAGGUUGGCCACCAUUAGCACAAUGAUAGACAAUAUUGAAGCUGAAUCCAACGGAAUGAAAAUUGCAACAUAUAGUCUUCACAUCCGAACAAAAUGAACGAAUGCAUUCCUCUUGAAAUGGUCACAUAUCCAUAAAUUGAGAAGCCACAUAGAGUUAAGGUAGAGAAAAAAUCAACAAGGUACGGAUCAAGAACGAAUAAUCGGUAAGAAAUCCCAAUCUCAAACCAAUAUCCGUGGAAGAAGAACUAGAGCUACUAGAAUUCCCAUCUAUGAAACUCCCGAACCUUUCCGAUUAUGCAAUCAUGUGUUGGGGAUACAGGGGAAGCAUAAUAACUCACCCAAACUAGCAAAUCCUACAUCCAGUUGUAUCCAUCCUUCAACACAUAACCAAGAAACCUUCGGAAACCAUCUACCUCAACCUUCGAAAAGCAUCCGUUAUACAAGUUAUGGCGAUACUCCCGAACUCCCGCCCCAGUACUGGGUGGCGUCGAGGUUAUCUCACCAACGAACUGCAUAAAAGAGAUUUUCGAUGUCGGCGAAAAUAUCUCAAGUAUUUCAGAAUUGCAACGAUAAAAUUAUGAUGACAACACCUCAGAGCUCAACUCCCCGGGACACUUCCACUAAAUCCCUGACAGGAGGCACCAAGACAAUGUUCUCAUCAUAAGCCAUCGGAACGAUUUCAAGAUACUCGCGUGAUCCUAAAAAAUUUUUUAGUGAAAUUUGAGAAGAGAAGAGUCAAAACUCUACGUCAGGAUGCCUUACCAGAGCGAUGAGGAGACUGGGAAGUAAAAAAAAUUCCUAAACUCUCCGAUAUAUAAUUCCUAAAAGACUCAAAACAUUUUUCUAGACACAACUCGGCCGCUAAAAACGAUCAAGCAAUGGAGCCCAAGGGUCAUCUUAUUUUAAACCCCCCCGGGCCAGUGCUCCUCUGAGUGUUGGUCCGACCGAGUAGACUGCGGGGCCACCUCGGGGCAAUUUGAGGGUUGGUUUUACUCGUAGGAUGUCUCAUCUGAGUGUGCCCUGAGAAAGAGAUAUGUGCAGCUCCUAUCGAGAUUUGUCGGCACAUUCGGGCGGUGUUGCUGGUCUUGUUUUAACCUGUCGAAGUGUCUUGAGUUACCGAGAUACCGAGUCUAAUCGGAACAUCUUGGGAGGAGGUCUAUUCCUUCGUUGACCGUGAGAGCUUGUCACGGGCUAAGUUGGGACUCCCUUGCAUGGAUUGAACUUUCGAAAGCCGUGCCCGCGGUUAUGGGCAGAUGGGAAUUUGUUAAUGUCUGGUUGUAGAUAACUUGAACCUUAAAUUAAUUAAAAUGAAUCAAUCGAGUGUGUUACCGUGAUGGCCUCUUCUCGGCGGAGUCCGGGAAGUGGACACGGUGUUGGAGUAAUGUUUGUGCAGGUAGCUCUCUAGUUUCUCGCUCGCGCUUUGCCUCCUCUUCUCGCUCUCCUUUGCGAAUAAGUUAGCCACCAUACUUGCUAGUCGCUUGCUGCAGCUCCACAUAUGUUUUGCCUUACCCUUCCUAUAAGCUUAAAUAGUCUUGAUCGCGAGGGUGCGAGAUUGCUGAGUCCCUAUGGCUCACAGAUACCAUAACUCCAGAUGCAGGUCCAGGUGAUUCCGCUCCAGGUGACGAGUACGAGCUCAAGUGGGAGUUCGACGAAGACUCUCAGCGAUACUAUGUUUCCUUUCCCGAUGAUCAGUAGUGGUGCCCAGUUGGGGGUGAACGGGACCGUUGUCGCAUGUUGGGUUCUUUUUUAUUUUGGCGCCGUAGUCGGGCCAUGAGUGUUUUGGAUGAUGUAAUGUUAUUUAUGUAUUUGAUUGACGUGACGAGUGUAAGCCAACUAUGUUAUCUCCCCUUUUAUCAUUAUAUUACAUGGGAUGUUGUGAAGAUUGCCUAACUUGCGACAUAUGCCUUCAAUGCGAUUAUGUCCCUAAGUCGUGCCUCGACACGUGGGAGCUAUAGUCGCAUCGAGGGUGUUACAACGUGCUAUUGGAUUGAUACCAACCUACUACAAAAAGUGGUGUGCGUGCAUUGAAGGACUAUGGAUGUCAACGAGGGAGUGAUGGAUGAAUACAAGACUGCAUGGUUUAGCAAAUUCAUUGGUUUUGGAGAAUUGUGGUAUUGUAUUUCACUAAAAUGUACUAGGCGAACGUAUAUGAAGAGACCAAUUAGCAAGCAAUAUGGAUAUAGUGAAAUGCUACUAGCUUCAUGUAAACAAAGAUAUGCUACACCAUCACUAAAAUCAUUUUCAUACCCCCUUAAAUAUCGCAAAGAAAGAUGAAUGGGCGUAGCUCAGUUUGUUAGGUUACUUGUGCUCAAACAAAUCCAUCCGAGUUCGAGUUUUAGACUUGACAUGGGUGCUCGUAGUUUCCUCCUGAAUUUAUUCCAAACUUUCCGACGAUGUUUGUUCAGUGAAAUACGAACAUCCCGUUGAUUACAUGGGGCCUCUGGUGACUUUGCCAAUUUGAAGAUUUGUCUGCUUAGUCUCUCAUAAAUGAUCAUAUGGGUAUGGUAUGUGUGUAAGCACUCAUAGGGAUGAGUCUGUGUGCGUGUGUGUAUGUUUCGCAAAAAAUAAUAUCAAAAGAAUACAACAUGAACAUGAUAAACAUUGUGCUGACAAAAAAGUCAUCCUCCAUAUGUCAAUCAUUUGCCCUUCCAAUUGCUAAGCGUUUGUCUCGAACUGGUCUUCUAUCCCUUCCACUAACGCGAGCGCCUACUCCUCGUCCUCAUCCGCGUCCUUCAUGGUAAUAUUUGCCAUGGCCACGGGGUUGCCAUCGUCCUCAUCUGCCUCCUCCAUGGUGAUCUCUAUCAUGGCCAUAGGCUCUCCCUCCUCCUCCUCCGGAGAGCUCGUGGAUUGGCCCUAAUGCAUGCCUGGCAUCGGGCCUCCAUGCCGCGGACCUUUGUGCGAUUUGGUUGCAACGCCAUGGCAAACAGUGAACGAUGGACGAGGAUGCGAAGGGGUGAGAAGGGAUGGUUGAACAGCGGCUCGGACGGUAGGAGAAGAGUUUGGAGGGGUAGGGUUUUGGGGUGUGGCGGGCCGGUUUAAAUAGCCGGGGUAGGCGGAGCGGCAGGUUGAAUGUGAGUACCAGCUGGAGUAGGCUUCUCAGUUGUUAUGCCGGUGUGAAUGUCGGGUGGGUGGACGGCCGGCUCUCAGCCGUCAUGUCCGCUCUGACUGGCAUGAAUGCCGCGUGGAGAGAGGGUUCUAGAACGAGCGGGCGCGACGAGAAAGGAUCUUUUGGGUGGGGCUGCCUUGUCGGAGUCCGACAUGGUGGACAUUCAAACUCUCCAAACCUUUUAGUUUGGUGUUGGUUUUGCGGGAUUUUGGACGUUCGGACCGGUCCGAACAAGUUUGAUGACCACUGUUGGAUAACUAAAGUGUCUACACGAUCCGAUCAGGACAUUUGCAUGAGGUUUGGCGAUCCGCGCUAAAGCAAAAAACUAUAUGUUCUACUCCCUCCAAUGUGUACUGUUGCAAGAUAAAUGUAAACUUGUCGCAACUGAUUGUAGGUGCUUUUGUUUCGGUACACUUUAAACUAAAACCAUGAUAAGAAUUAUGAAAAAGGGGAAUAUUUUUGAACGAAAAUAGCUACUCCCUCCGAUCUAUAUUAUUUAUCGUUGGUUUAGUACAAAGUUGCAAAGGGGUGUGCCAAAACAAAAGCUACAUAUUAUUUCUUGAACGAAAUAGUUAUAUAUUAUCGUCACACAUGUCUGGACAAGACAAUAAGUGGCAGCAGGCAUCAAAGAUGAAGCUCUCCGUCUGCCCGUGCUACGUAGCUGUCCAGCACUGUCCACUGAACUUGAUCCUCUCCAUUGUUCAGCAACGUGAGGUACAACUGAAGGAAACUGGCCAUAUUCCAGCAACGGCGAGCAGUUGAGAAGAGUCCGGAGACAGCGUCCGAUCAGAGGCCACUCCGUGAGUGCAGUGCCAGCAAAACAGCGACGUUUGAGAAUCAUGUCGAAUCACGAAAACCUAUCCAUUGAUGUGCUCUACUCACGUUCACGCAAGAGGGCUUGUAAAAACGUAGACGACGUUCUAAUCUAGGCUGGUCCCGUCGCUACCACUCUAGCUUGACGCCAUGUAUGGAUACACUGCAGCGGACACGGCGCCCUCACCAAUCAUCUCUACGGCCAGCGGCGCACGCGCACGUUCUGGUACUCCACCUCCUCUUUCGCCUUCUGCCGGUAGCCGCCCCCGCACCGUACGUCCCGGCGGCAACGUGGAGCGGCCAGCCUCGAUGCGUGCAUGCGUGGAUGAUCAACGAAUGACGGGCGGCAAUGGCGUGGAGAAACAGUGCGCGGCCGUGAGAAGUGCUGCUUCCGUUGGGUCACAUGCACGCGUUGCCGGCCGGGAAAGGUCCGUCCGCCCUGGAGCAAUGGAGGAUCGCAUGCAGAUGCAGGACGAGUGGACGGACGCACACCGGAGCCGAGCAAGUGACGGGCACGCAUGAGUCACGGUCUAUGAAGCGGCCACUGACGCCGACAGGGCUCCGGUGGCGGUGCGCGCGUGGCCCAGUGGCUCUCGCGAUCGUCUCAGAUCCGCCUUUCGGGAGGCCGAUCGCGGAGACGAGCGGCUUGUGGCUUGCUGGCAACGGCGAUAAUGUGGGAUUCCAGAUCAAAUCAAAGGUGACGCCAGUUGUGCCUGCCCAAUGUGGCCUCUUGCAGUUGCAGCCCUCGACGAUGUGACGUGGAAGGCAAUGAUAUAUUUCCGAGGGACGUGUAUGGGGGUUCGGUAAGGUGAUGGAGAGUUUCUUUCUUGGUGAGGUAGUAGGAGUAGUGGCGAUCCGCGAUGCGAGUACAUGUGGGUGGAUACUGGAUAGAGCCGGAGAUCGCCAUGAGCUCCUGAGGCUGCACUUUUCCGUUGCCUGAUUCAGAUAGGCAGAUAUAUAUAUGCCCACUGGUGGUACUCGAACCUGCCGGCCCUGCAGCUAGAGUGGCCAAGUGGCCAUACAUCGGCCGUGAGUGAGGUACUGAGGUGCCAUCCAUGUCCAUCCUGGGUGGCUGGAUUCCUGGCCAUAUGCCUUCGACGAUCCUGAGGCGAGAGUGACGCCUUGCGCAAAGUUACUUUCGGGCCUUGCAAGUUUGUUCUUACAUUGGUCUUUGAACGUUUUAACAGUCUUUUUUCAUGGACGUCGAUAUUUUGGACCAAACGCCUCUAUCAGCACACAUCGCGUCACGUCAUCGCAUACAUGCAUAAGUGAUGAAGCUGAUGAUGUCAGCGGAUAUCUUUUGCAUUAUCAGUUUUUGAAAUGUUUUAUCUCUUAAUGAAAAUUUUGAUUGAAAAACUGUUUUUAUUAUUAAAUCUGUCGCGACGAGAUCUUCGAAACUAGAUCCCAUAUCAAUAUGUUUUGACGACUUUUUUUUGUUAAAAAUUGUCAUUUUGUUUCACAUAAAUUGUCAUGGUGUUUAUACAGAAAUUGCCAUGAUAUAUUUCAACUAUUUUUCUCCUACGUUUAAAGUAAUUUUGACAUGUUAUAAAGAAAGGAAAUUAAGAAACUAAAUUUGCCAUGGUGUAUUACUAAAAUUUGCCAUGAUCCAUAGAUAAUUUUGACAUGGUUCAUAACUAAAAAGAAAUUCGUCGUCUAUUACUUUAAAAAUGCAUGGUCAAUGACUCAAAUUUGCCAUGAACCAAACUAAAAUUGCCAUGAUGAAUUAGAUAAAUUUAUCAUGAUACAUGCACUAAAAUUUGCCAUGGUUCAUAAAAAAAAUCAUGGUCGAAAUACUAAAAUUGCCAUGAUCUAUAAACUAAAAUUGUUUUGAUCUACAAACUAAAUUUGUCAUGAUGAAUUACUAAAGAUUGCCAUGAUCCAUUAAUUAAAUUUGCCAUGGUUAAUAACUAAAAUUUGCCAUGGUCAAUUAAUAAAUUUACGGUGGAAGUAGUUGAAAUACAAUGGUACCUUUAAAUCUAGAAGAAAAAAUAUAGAUAAAACAUAUCAUGGCAACUUUAGUAUAAACACUAUGGCAAUUUUAGUAUAACAUCAUGGCAAGUUUUGGCCAAAAAGUCGUUGAAACAUAUCAAUAUGAGAUCUAGUUUUGAAGAUCUCGUCGAGACGGAUUUAAUGAUGAAAAUGAUUUUUAAUUGGACUCUUUAUUGAAGAAAUAAAAUAUUUUUUAGUCCAAAAACCAAAAACAUUCCACUGAUGUUUUUUGUUUGAUAUGGCAAAAUGGAUGAUAAUGAAGGCGUUUGGACCAUGUUAUUUCGUGUCACGCGUGUGGCACUUAUCAUUUGGGUCUUUCAUAGUCAAACAAUCUGACAUUACAGAUUAAGUGUAAAGUUAUGAGAUGUUAGGUCUUAGGUGGUCGCUUGGAGGGGGAGGAAGGAUGGCUCCUUUUCUUCACAGUGAUCAUGCAUCGUGGCUUUAAAUCGUUUUUACUUUCAUAGUUGUAACCAAAGACAUUGUGGUUCUUUUUAAUAGAAAUAUGAGGGGGGCUCUUUUAAAAUAAAAAAAGGAGUGUAAAGCUGUGGUAGAUUGAAAAAAAAAAGAAGACAAGGAACAUUGAAGGUCACAAAGUUACAUAAACGUGCUCUCAGGCUCUAUCAAUCGUUUCACGGUUUUGUUCUGAGCAUCCUAUAGUGAAAUCGUACAAAAUCAUAGCUGUACAAAAAAGGUUAAUCUCAAAUAUAAGACAAAAGCCCCUAUUUAAAAGGUUUUUUGGCUCCUAAACCGAAGUGAAAAAAUUGAAGCAUAAGCUCAAACAAACAGUGCCUAAAUAGCCUCCUGAGUGAUCCACCAUAAGAUGUGAAAAUAUUAGACCAUUUAAAGUACUUUGGUCGAGGACACAUCCACACAUCCACUUAAAGCAGAUAAUCGAGUCGUUGCUUCAAUGUCGAGAUACCCAGGAAGAAGACUAUAUGAUCACGGUAUGAAAAAUAAUACGUAUGAGAAAUCAAAGCACCAUUAGCUCUCUAACGUUGGCUACAAACAUCAUGUCAGAAUGGGGAUGGAGCCAAGAGAACACUUAUUCCACACAAGAGAACCUCCACCAUCAAGACAAUGUCGCUGAGGAGACACAAAGCUAACAUAGAAAGACUUGAUCCACUCUGAAAGCAAAUAUUUGAGUUGUCCCCACCUACUUAGGACACAGAUUCUUGGAUGAGCAAGAGAAAAAUUCUUUAGCAAGAUAUAGGUCGAGCAGAGAUCCUAGCCAGACACGGACGAUGUUAGAUCAAUAGUUCUAUGGUGCCAACUCUACCGGGCCAGGUUCAUUUGUUACAAACGAAUUCAAUUUUUAAUCAAUCUAAUGAAAUUUUUGCCAAGUUCAUUAGGUUCAACUGACCCCACAGGUUGCUCCGUCCAGCAGAGACGAAUUGAAUCUAUUGAGUAUACGGACUAAGCUAGAAUGGGCACGAUAUGAACCCAAGGGUAUUUGUACCCACUUUUCAAAAAAUGCAUUUCAAGUAUGUUUUAAAAUCUCAAAAAAAUCAAAAGAAAAUUUCAUGCAUACAUGUUCACAAAUGUAUGUGCGUGCUGCAAAGUUUUGUGAAAAAAUGUCUUUUUAUUUUGUCUCCCUAAAAAAGACAAAUUUCAGUGCUUCUAAAUAGUGUUUCAUGACAUAAUUUUUUGCCUUUUUUACACAUGUCACAAAAAAAGUUAUUUUUCUGUGAAAGUUUAUGCAAGCACAUAGAACAUGAACACAUACCCAUGCCAUCUUUUCGGAUAUUUUUACCAUUUAGAAAUGUAUUUUUCAAAGUGGGUUCAUAUGUAUCCGGAUUCAUCCAUGCUCUUCCCCACGAAGCUAGACCAAUUGUCAGCUCUAUUGAGCUGGGUUCAUUUGUUACAAAUGAAUAGUAUUGUUUACAGAUUUAGUGAAGAGAUUGUUCAAUUCAUUGUACUCAACUAACCUUAGUGCAUAUAAGGCACCUCCGUCCCCAUUAGAGCAGAGAAUAAUAUCUUGAGUAAAAUUUGUUUCAAACCUUUAACUUGAGGUGCUAGUCUAAAUUGAACCUCAUCUCCUAACACCUAAAAAUCAGCACCCUACGAAUGGAAUUCAAAGAGAUAAUUACACCUACGGUCCUCGUAUUCUUCGGCAUGUAACACAACGGUCUCGGGACUCGCGGAAUGCUCCACUACGGUCCUCAAAUACGAGGAUUCGCUCCAAUACGGUCCUGGCUACGUCUCACUCUAUGCCUCGCGCCCAGCCAGGUGCCACGUCAGUGUACAGUAGAUGCAUGGGCCCCCAUGUCAGCAUAGGAGAGAGAAAAAAAGGGAAAACAAAAUGCUACGCCGAGGAUCGAACUCGAGACCCCUGCGUAAGAGAGCAACCGAUCUAGCCACCACGCCGACAUGUCAAUGACGUACAACUGGCAGCAAAAACAAAUUGGAGCAACUAUACAUAUCGCUCGCUUAUAACAGGGCCGGCCCAGUAGCGUAUCUCUAUUUCUUUUUUCUCGAAUCUUCAAGCGAUUUUCCUGUGCAUUUCUUACCGGUUUUCUUUUUAAUUUUCCCCAGGUUUAUGUUUAUUUUCCCCAUAUAAAAAUAAAAUAAUUAUAAAUAUACAAUUAUUUUCUAUUUUAAAUCUUUAUUCUAUUUUCAUUAUUGUGUGCCUUGAAGACAUAAACAUUAGCUUUUUCUAAAAUUUAUAUGGAUUUAAAUAAAAUAAAUUAUAAGAAAAUUUAUGUAUCUUCAUUCAUGACCACAAACACGCAUUAUUUUGUAUCCUCAUUGUAUUAACAUACAUAAUAAUUUUAAAAAUUAACAAAGUAUAUUUUGAAUAAUGUUCAGCAUGGUUUUGGAAAAUGGUUAUCAUUUUGCCCUAUUAUAUGCCCAAUGACCGGUUUUAUUUUUAUCUCUUCCAGUUUAAAAAAAGAAAUGUAAGAAGAAAUUACAAUAAUUACUAAUAAACAAUUAUUGUGUAUUUUAAUAUUCAUUGUGUUUUCCUUAUUGAGUAACUUGAAGAGGUAAACAUGUUUUUUUUAAUUUACUUUAAUAUAAAAACCGGUAGUCGGGCAUAUAAUUGGGCAAAAAUAUAACCAUUUUGUGACACCAUGCUGAAUAUAAUUCAAAAAUACACGUUGCCAAUUUUUCAAAUAUUUGUGUAUUUUAAAUAUACAAUGAAGAUACACAAUAAUUGCGCGUGUUUGUGGUCCUGAAUGAACAUACAUAAAUUUUUAUGACAUUUUUUUAAAUCCACAUAAAUUUUGGAAAAAGUUCAUGUUUACGUCUUCAAGGUACAAAUUAAUGAAAAUAUAAUAAAUAUUUAAAAUACACAAUAAAUGUAUUCUUUUAUAUGGAAAAAAUGAAGUUUAAAAAUAGAAAGAUAAAAUAAACACGAACUUGGUAAAAAAAAGGAUAGAAUAUGCAUCAGGAAAAUCACUUGAAGAUUAAAAAAAGGGGGUACGGUAUGCUACUAGGCCGGACCAAUUAUAUGAAAAUAAAUUAAAGAUUUAAAAUACACAGAAAUUGUAUAUUAAUAAUGAUUAUAUUUUUAUAUGGGAAAAUUAAACAUAAGCAUGGGUAAAAAUAAAAAUGAAACCGGUAGGCAACGUACAGGAAAAUCGCUGGAAGAUUCGAAAAAAGUAGAAGAGAUACGCUACGCUACUGGGCCGGGUCAGUAUGUGCGCAAGCGAAAGCUAGCGAUAUAUGGAACUGCUCUAUAUAGCUUCCUAGCUGAUACGUGAACAGACCCUCAAAAAAAAAAACUGAUACGUGAACACGAUGGAUAGGUUGGCCUUGUGGCCAGCUCGUCUGUUCGCUUUUCUGGAGGUCUCAUGUUCGAUCCUCCGCCUAGCAUUCUGUGCAUCUGGCUGGGCGCGAGGCGUAGAGUGAGACAUAGCCAGAAUCAUAUUGGAGCGUAUCCUCGUAUUUGAGGACUGUAGUGGAGCAUUCCGCGAGUUUCAGGGUCAUUGUGUUACAUGCCGGAGAGUAUGAGGACUGUAGGUGUAAUUAUCUCGAAUUCAAACGAUAGUUCAAUAACUUUGUCAGAGUUCUCCUCAUGCAAGUUGUAAAGAUUUGAUGGAAAACUUGUGUUCUAUUGAUUCUGGGCAAAGCCCUAUUUAUACAAGGAUUUGGGGCGCCUCCGGAGAGGCGUCCGUUUACAAGCGCCCGUGGCGCGAGAAGACGCAUGUACGGACGUUCGCGUCCGUACGGUGUUUUGGACACACGUGAUGACUCUUAGUGCUAAUGACGUCGCUUUAUUCUUAACACUUCCCCUUGUACAAAGCUGCUUCUUCUAUGUCUUGUAUCCUUGUAUAACUUUGAGAAUAUUGCUCUUAAUCACAAGCGUAUAUGAUCUUGAAUAACUCCUCCAAAAACCCUGUGGGAAAAAUAUGAGAAGAAUAGAACUUGAUAUGUUGUUAAAACUCCAUUAAAACCCAGUAGGAAAAAUAAGAAGAAAAUGUUACAACAUAUGUUAUCGUCUCUUUGAUAACUUAUAUGAGAAAACCUUGAGGAUAAAACUCAUUGGUAUGUUUAGAGGACAAUUAAUAUGUCUUGUAUACACUCAUUAAAAACCCCGGUGGAGAAAAAUAGGAUGUAUGACAUAUAUUCUUAUGUUGAUAUUACCUCAUUAAAAACCUUGAUGAGAACCAUGAGAGUAAACUCAUAAAGGGAAAAAGAGUGCAAUAUAAUGUUUGAACAGGUUAUGAUUCAGAGAAGCUCUCCCCCUAAUCUCUGCAAAUCUCGAAGUCGUCACAUACCAAUCCCAUGAACAUAUUUUUCAAAUGUUGAAGCUGAGAGCGACUUUGUGAAUAGAUCAGUUAGAUUAUCGCAUGAUUUGACUUGCAAAAUGUUUAUCUUCCCUUUCUUUUGUAAUUGAUGGGGAAAAAAUAAUUUAGGAGAAAUAUGCUUAGUGAUAUUGCUCUUUAUGUAACCUGUUUGUAUUUGAGCAACACAAGCUGCAUUAUCUUCGUAGAUAAUGGUUGGACAUUCGAUAGAACCUUUACCACAUGAUUUUUGUAUGUGGUUUAUCAUUCUGCGAAGCCAUACACAUUCAUGUGUUGCCUCAAAUAAAGAGAUUAUUUCAGAAUGAUUGGUGGAUGUAGCCACUAGAGUAUGUUUGGAAGACUUCCAUGAUAUGGCUGUCCCACCAUGUAGGAACACAAAACCAGUUUGUGAUCUGGCAUUGUGGGGGUCAGAUAAGUAGCCAGCAUCAACAUACCCAAUCAUAUCAAUGUCCAAAUUUCUCUGAAAUUGAAAGAAUAGGCCAAGAUCCUUUGUGCCUUGGAGAUAUCGAAAGAUAUUCUUAACUCCCGUCCAAUGGCGUUUAGUAGGAGCUGCGCUCUGUCUAGCUAGUAAAUUCACUGCAAAUGCAAUAUCAGGCCUGGUGCAAUUUGCAAGAUACAUGAGUGCUCCAAUGGCACUGAGAUAUGGAACUUCAGGUCCUAAUAUCUCUUCUCCAUUAUCCAUUGGUCUAAAUUGAUCUUUCUCUACGUCUAGAGAUCGAACUACCAUAGGAGUUUUGGAUGGAUAGGAUUCGUCCAUAUUGAAUUUCUCCAAUAUUUUCUGGAUAUAUGCGGUUUGAUGAACCAAAAUACCCGAGGGAAGGUGCUCAAGUUGUAAUCCUAAGCAAAAUUUGGUUUUACCCAAAUCCUUCAUCUCAAAUUCCGUCUUUAGGUGAUUGCGUGCUUCAUCAAUAUCUUGUGUGGUUCCAAUGAUGUUCAGAUCAUCAACAUACAUAGAAAUAAUGCAAAAUCCAGUUGUGGACUUUUUUAUGAAAACACAUGGGCAAUCAUCAUUAUUGUAGUAUCCUUUUUUCAAAAGGAACUCACUAAGUCGGUUGUACCACAUGCGACCCGACUGUUUUAAGCCGUAUAAAGACUUAUUUAGUUUUACACAAUAUGCGUUGUGUUUUGCGUUUGGAUUCGGGAUUGGGACUCCAUCAGGAACCUUCAUGUAUAUGUCUGAAUCAAGUGAACCGUAAAGGUAAGCGGUUACUACGUCCAUCAACUGCAUAGAUAGACAAUUUUGCACUGCCAAAGAUAUAAGAUAUCGGAAAGUGGUUGCAUUCAUUACUGGAGAAUAUGUUUUAGUGAAAUCAAUGUCGGGUUUCUGCGUGAAACCUUGUGCUACGAGCCUUGCUUUGUAUCUCACCACCUCGUUGUUCUCGUUUCUUUUAUGAACAAAAACCCAUUUGAAUCCCAUGGGGAAAACUCUGGGAGGUGUAGGUAUUGCUUUAGUGAAUACCUUUUGUUUAUUGAGCGAGGCUAAUUCUGCUUGGAUUGCAUCCUUCCAUUUAGGCCAGUCGGAGCAUUUCUUGCACUUUGACAUGGUCUUUGGAUCAUGAUCAGUGAGAAGGGUAUCUGCAAUCUUUUCAGCAAAAUAUAUGUCGACAGUCGUAGUCUUACGGUCAAAUGAUUCUCCAGAAUCAACGUAGUUGAUAGAAAUUUCCUGCACCCUUAGUGACUCUUCGUGAUUUCCCAAUACGAUUGAGUCUGGGUGUUCCGAUGUCCUAGUUAGUUUGUGCACAACUGAGCUGGGUUGUGGAGGUUGUUCUUCCACUGGGUGUAUAUUACCCAUUUGAUGAUUAUCAACACUAGGUUGGUUUAGAUUUACUGGUUCGGAGAGUUUCUUUCUCUGUUUCCUUCGUUGCUUGUGAGGAGCUGAAUCCUGUUCCGUGGCCGUACUUCUACCCCUCUUCCUUUGAACAGGGGGUUGAGUAGUUUUGGUUGGUACCUCCACUCUUUCAGGCGCGUUUUUAGCAGGAUUGUAGGAUUUGGUAACACCUUUAUGUUGGGGAACGUAGCAGAAAUUCAAAAUUUUCCUACGUAUCACCAAGAUCUAUCUAUGGAGAAACCAGCAACGAGGGGAAGGAGAGUGCAUCUACAUACCCUUGUAGAUCGCUAAGCGGAAGCGUUCAAGUGAACGGGGUUGAAGGAGUCGUACUCGUCGUGAUCCAAAUCACCGGAGAUCCUAGUGCCGAACGGACGGCACCUCCGCGUUCAACACACGUACAGCCCGGUGACGUCUCCCACGCCUUGAUCCAGCAAGGAGAGAGGGAGAGGUUGAGGAAGACUCCAUCCAACAGCAGCACAACGGCGUGGUGGUGGUGGAGGAGCGUGGCAAUCCAGCAGGGCUUCGCCAAGCACCACGGGAGAGGAGGAGGAGGAGAGGCAGGGCUGCACUAAGAGGGAGAAGUUCUCAUGUGUUUAGCAGCCCCAAACCUCAACUAUAUAUAGGGGGAAGGGGGGGCUGCGCCCCCUUUAGGGUUUCCCACCCCAAGGGGUGCGGCCAAGGGGGGAGGAGUGCCUCCCAAGUCAAGUGGAGGCCUCCCCCUUUAGGGUUUCCCCCUUCCCAUGCGCAUGGGCCUUGGGGGGCUGGUUCCCUUGGCCCAUAAAGGCUAGGGCGCCCCCUUACAGCCCAUGCUACUGUAUUGGACGUGGUGGAACAAUUUCCGGACCUCCGGACCCCUCCGGAAUCCUCCGGAACCUUCUGGAAGCUUCCCGGUACAAUACCGAAAAAACCCGAACUUUUUCCAGAACCCGAACAACAACUUUCCAUAUAUAAAUCUUUACCUCCGGACCAUUCCGGAACUCCUCGUGACGUCCGGGAUCUCAUCUGGGACUCCGAACAACAUUCGGUAACCACAUACAAACUUCCUUUAUAACCCUAGCGUCAUCGAACCUUAAGUGUGUAGACCCUACGGGUUUGGGAGACAUGCAGACAUGACCGAGACGUUCUCCGGUCAAUAACCAACAGCGGGAUCUGGAUACCCAUGUUGGCUCCCACAUGUUCCACGAUGAUCUCAUCGGAUGAACCACGAUGUCAAGGACUCAAUCGAUCCCGUAUACAAUUCCCUUUGUCUAGCGGUAUUUUACUUGCCCGAGAUUCGAUCGUCGGUAUACCGAUACCUUGUUCAAUCUCGUUACCGACAAGUCUCUUUACUCGUUUCCGUAACACAUCAUCCCGUGAUCAACCCCUUGGUCACAUUGUGCACAUUAUGAUGAUGUCCUACCGAGUGGGCCCAGAGAUACCUCUCUGUUUACACGGAGUGACAAAUCCCAGUCUUGAUUCGUGCCAACCCAACAGACACUUUCGGAGAUACCUGUAAUGCACCUUUAUAGCCACACAGUUACGUUGUGACGUUUGGUACACCCAAAGCAUUCCUACGGUAUCCGGGAGUUGCACAAUCUCAUGGUCUAAGGAAAAGAUACUUGACAUUAGAAAAGCUUUAGCAUACGAACUACACGAUCUUUAUGCUAGGCUUAGGAUUGGGUCUUGUCCAUCACAUCAUUCUCCUAAUGAUGUGAUCCCGUCAUCAAUGACAUCCAAUGUCCAUGGUCAGGAAACCGUGACCAUCUAUUGAUUAACGAGCUAGUCAACUAGAGGCUCACUAGGGACAUGGUGUUGUCUAUGUAUCCACACAUGUAUCUGAGUUUCCUAUUAAUACAAUUAUAGCAUGUAUAAUAAAGGAUUAUCAUGAACAAGGAAAUAUAAUAAUAACACUUUUAUUAUUGCCUCUAGGGCAUAUUUCCAACAGUCUCCCACUUGCACUAGAGUCAAUAAUCUAGUUCACAUCGCCAUGUGAUUAACAUUCACAGGUCACAUCACCAUGUGACCAAGACUCAAUGAGUUCUGGGGUUUGAUCAUGUUCUGCUUGUGAGAGAGGUUUUAGUCAACGGGUCUGAACCUUUCAGAUCCGUGUGUGCUAUACAAAUCUCUAUGUCAUCUCCUAGAUGUAGCUACCACGUUCUAUUUGGAGCCAUUCCAAAUAACUGUUCCACUUGGAGCUAUUCUAAAUUGUUGCCCCAUUAUACGUAUCCGGUAUCUCUACUUAGAGCUAUCCGGAUAGGUGUUAAGCUUGCAUCGACGUAACCUUUACGACGAACUCUUUUACCACCUCCAUAAUCGAGAAAAUUCCUUAGUCCACUAGUUACUAAGGAUAACUUUGACCGCUGUCUGUGAUCCAUUCUUGGAUCACUCUUGUACCCCUUGACUAACUCAUGGCAAGGCACACUUCAGGUGCGGUACACAGCAUAGCAUACUGUAGAGCCUAUGUCUUAAGCAUAGGAGACGACCUUCGUCCUUUCUCUCUAUUCUGCCAUGGUCGAGCUUUAAGUCUUAACUUCGUACCUUACAACUCAGGCAAGAACUUCUUCUUUGACUGAUCCAUCUUGAACACCUUCAAGAUCAUGUCAAGGUAUGUGCUCAUUUGAAAGUACCAUUAAGCGUUUUGAUCCAUCCUCAUAGAUCUUGAUGCUCAAUGUUCAAGUAGCUUAUUCCAGAUUUUCUAAUGAAAAACACCUUUCAAAUAACCCUAUAUGCUUUCUAGAAAUUCUACAUCAUUUCUGAUCAUCAAUAUGUCAACAACAUAUACUCAUCAGAAAUUCUAUAGUGCUCCCACUCACUUCUUUGGAAAUACAAGUUUCUCAUAAACUUUGUAUAAACCCAAAAUCUUUGAUCAUCUUAUCAAAGUGCACAUUCCAACUCCGAGAUGCUUACUCCAGUCCUUAGAAGGAUUGCUGGAGCCAGCAUACCUUUUAGCAUCCUUAGGAUCGACAAAACUUUUCUGAUUGUAUCACAUACAACCUUUCCUUACAAAAACUGGUAAGGAAACUCGUUUUGACAUCCAUCUGCCAGAUUUCAUAAAUGCAGCUAAUGCUAACAUGAUUCUGACGGACUUAAGCAUCGCUACGGAUGAGAAAACCUCAUCGUAGUCAACUCCUUGAACUUGUGAAAAACUCUUCGCCACAAGUCGAGCUUCAUAGACGGUGACAUUACCGUCCACGUCCGUCUUCUUCUUAAAGAUUCAUUUAUCUCAAUGGCUUGCCGAUCAUCGGGCAAGUCCACCAAAGUCCAUGCUUUGUUCUGAUACAUGGAUCCGAUCUCGGAUUUCAUGGUUUCUAACCAUUUGUCGGAAUUUGGGCCCACCAUCGCUUCUCCAUAGCUCGUAGGUUCAUUGUUGUCUAGCAACAUGACCUUCAAGACAGGAUUACUGUACCACUCUGAAGUAGUACGUAUCCUUGUCACCCUACGAGGUACGGCAGUGACUUGAUCCGAAACUUCAUGAUCACUAUCAUAAGCUUCUACUUCAAUUGGUGUAGGUGCCACAUGAACAACUUCCUAUGCCCUGAUACACACUGGUUGAAGUGAUGGUUCAAUAACCAUACCAAGUCUCCACCAUCCUCCCACUCAACUCUUUCGAGAGAAACCUUUCCUCGAGAAAGGACCCGAUUCAAGAAACAAUCCAUAUUGCUUUCGGAUCUGAAUUAGGAGGUAUACCCAACUGUUUUGGGUGUCCUAUGAAGAUGUAUUUUAUCCGCUUUGGGUUCGAGCUUAUCAGUCCUGAAACUUUUUCACAUAAGCGUCGCAGCCCCAAACCUUUAAGAAACGACAACUUAGGUUUCUCUAAACCGGUGUCGUCUCAAUGGAAUUACGUGGUGCCUUAUUUAAAGUGAGUGUGGGUGUCUCUAAUGCCUAACCCAUGAACGAUAGUGGUAAUUCGAUAAGAGACAUCAUGGUACACACCAUAUCCAAUAGGGUGCAACUACGAUGUUCGGACACACCAUCAAACUAUGGUGUUCCAGGUGGUAUUAAUUGUGAAACAAUUUCCACAAUGUCUUAAUUGCGUGCCAAAACUCGUAACUCAGAUAUUCAUCUCUAUGAUCAUAUCCUAGACAUUUUAUCCUCUUGUCACAAUGAUCUUCUACUUCACUCUGAAAUUACUUGAACCAUUCAAUAAUUCAGACUUGUGUUUCAUCAAGAAAAUAUUCUCAACAUCUACUCGAAUCAUCUGUGAAGUAAGAACAUAACGAUAUUCACUGCAUGCCUCAGCACUCAUUGGACUGCACACAUCAAAAAUGUGUUGCUUCCAACAAGUUGCUAUCUUGUUCCAUUUUACUGAAACCGAGGUUUUUCAGUCAUCUUGCCUAUGUGGUAUGAUUUGCAUAUCUCAAGUGAUUCAAAAUCAAGUGACUCCAAACGAUCCAUCUGCAUGGAGUUUCUUCAUGCAUAUACACCAAUAGACAUGAUUCGCAUGUCUCAAACUUUUCAAAAACGAGUGAGUCCAAAGAUCCAUCAACAUGGAGCUUCUUCAUGCGUUUUAUACCAUUAUGACUUACAUGGUAGUGCCACAAGUAAGUGGUACUAUCAUUACUAUCUUAUAUCUUUUGGCAUGAAAAUGUGUAUCACUACAAUCGAGAUUCAAUAAACCAUUCAUUUUAGGUGCAAGACCAUUGAAGGUAUUAUUCAAAUAAAUAGAGUAACCAUUAUUCUCUUUAAAUGAAUAACCGUAUUGCGAUAGUCAUAAUCCAAUCAUGCCUAUGCUCAACGCAAACACCAAAUAACAAUUAUUUAGGUUUAACACCAAUCUCGUUGGUAGAGGGAGCGUGCGAUGCUUGAUCACAUCAAGCUUGGAAAAACUUCCAACACAUAUCGUCAGCUCACCUUUAGCUAGUCUCCGUUUAUUCCGUAGCUUUUAUUUCGAGUUACUAAUACUUAGCAACCGAACCGGUAUCUUAUAUCCUGGUGCUACUGGGAGUACUAGUAAAGUACACAUUAACAUAAUGUAUAUCCAAUAUACUUCUAUCGACCUUGCCAGCCUUCUAAUCUACCAAGUAUCUAGGGUAAUUCUGCUCUAGUGACUAUUCCCCUUAUCACAGAAGCACUUAGUCUCGGGUUUGGGUUCAACCUUGGGUUUCUUCACUAGAGCAGCAACUGAUUUGUCGUUUCAUGAAGUAUCCCUUCUUGCCCUUGCCCUUCUUGAAACUAGUGGUUUCACCAACCAUCAACAAUUUGAUGCUCCUUCUUGAUUUCUACUUUCGCGGUGUCAAACAUCGUGAAUACCUCAAGGAUUAUCAUAUCUAUCCCUGGUAUGUUAUAGUUCAUCACGAAGCUCUAGCAGCUUGGUGGCAAUGACUUUGGAGAAACAUCACUAUCUCAUCUGGAAGAUCAACUCCCACUCGAUUCAAGUGAUUGUCGCACUCAGACAAUCUGAGCACAAGCUCAACGAUUGAGCUUUUCUCCCUUAGUUUGCAGGCUAAGAAAAUCGUCGGAGGUCUCAUACCUCUUGACGUGGGCACGAGCCUGAAAUCCCAAUUUCAGCCCUUGAAACAUCUCAUAUGUUCCGCGAUGUUUCGAAAACGUCUUUAGUGCCUCAACUCUAAACCGUUCAACUGAACUAUCACGUAGUUAUCAAAACGUGUAUGUCCGAUGUUCACAACAUCCACAAACGACGUUUGGGGUUCAGCACACUGAGCAGUGCAUUAAGGACAUAAGCUUUCUACUGUCCGCAUAAUUGCUACUUUCAACUUUCAACUAUAUUUUCUCUAGGAACAUAUCUAAAACAGUAGAACUAAAGUGCGAGCUACGACAUAAUUUGCAAAAUCCUUUUGACUAUGUUCAGAUAAUUAAGUUCAUCUUAUGAACUCCCACUCAGAUAGACAUCCCUCUGGUCAUCUAAGUGAUUACAUGAUCCGAGUCAACUAGGUCGUGUCCGAUCAUCACGUGAGACGGACUAGUCAUCAUCGGUGAACAUCUUCAUGUUGAUCGUAUCUACUAUACGACUCAUGCUCGACCUUUCGGUCUCCGUGUUCCGAGGCCAUGUCUGUACAUGCUAGGCUCGUCAAGUUAACCCUAAGUGUUUUCGCUGUGUAAAACUGUCUUACACCCGUUGUAUGUGAACGUAAGAAUCCAUCACACCCGAUCAUCACGUGGUGCUUAGAAGCGACGAACUGUAGCAACGGUGCACAGUUAGGGGAGAACACUUCUUGAAAUUUUGUAAGGGGUCAUCUUAUUUACUAUCGUCGUCCUAAGUAAACAAGAUGCAUAAUCAUAAUAAACAUCACAUGCAAUUAUAUAGUUGUGACAUGAUAUGGCCAAUAUCAUAUAGCUCCAUUGAUCUCCAUCUUCGGGGCUCCAUGAUCAUCUUGUCACCGGCUUGACACCAUGAUCUCCAUCAUCGUGUCUUCAUGAAGUUGUCACGCCAACGACUACUUCUACUUCUAUGGCUAACGCGUUUAGCAAUAAAGUAAAGUAAGUUACAUGGCGUUAUUCAAUGACAUGCAGGUCAUACAAUAAAUUAAGACAACUCUUAUGGCUCCUGCCGGUUGUCAUACUCAUCGACAUGCAAAUCGUGAAUCCUAUUACAAGAACAUGAUCAAUCUCAUACAUCACAUAUCAUUCAUCCCAUUCUUCUUGGCCAUAUCACAUCACAUAGCAUACCCUGCAAAAACAAGUUAGACGUCCUCUAAUUGUUGUUUGCAUGUUUAACGUGGCUGCUAUGGGUUUCUAGCAAGAACGUUUCUUACCUACGCAAGACCACAACGUGAUAUGCCAAUUGCUAUUUACCCUUCAUAAGGACCCUUUUCAUCGAAUCCGUUCCGACUAAAGUGGGAGAGACUGGCACCCGCUAGCCACCUUAUGCACCAAGUGCAUGUCAGUCGGUGGAACCUGUCUCACGUAAGAGUACGUGUAAGGUCGGUCCGGGCCGCUUCAUCCCACAAUACCGUCGAAACAAUAUUGGACUAGUAACGGUAAGCAUAUUGAACAACAUCAACGCCCACAACUACUUUGUGUUCUACUCGUGCAAAGAAUCUACGCAAUAGACCUAGCUCUGAUACCACUGUUGGGGAACGUAGCAGAAAUUCAAAAUUUUCCUACGUAUCACCAAGAUCUAUCUAUGGAGAAACCAGCAACGAGGGGAAGGAGAGUGCAUCUACAUACCCUUGUAGAUCGCUAAGCGGAAGCGUUCAAGUGAACGGGGUUGAAGGAGUCGUACUCGUCGUGAUCCAAAUCACCGGAGAUCCUAGUGCCGAACGGACGGCACCUCCGCGUUCAACACACGUACAGCCCGGUGACGUCUCCCACGCCUUGAUCCAGCAAGGAGAGAGGGAGAGGUUGAGGAAGACUCCAUCCAACAGCAGCACAACGGCGUGGUGGUGGUGGAGGAGCGUGGCAAUCCAGCAGGGCUUCGCCAAGCACCACGGGAGAGGAGGAGGAGGAGAGGCAGGGCUGCACUAAGAGGGAGAAGUUCUCAUGUGUUUAGCAGCCCCAAACCUCAACUAUAUAUAGGGGGAAGGGGGGGCUGUGCCCCCUUUAGGGUUUCCCACCCCAAGGGGUGCGGCCAAGGGGGGAGGAGUGCCUCCCAAGUCAAGUGGAGGCCUCCCCCUUUAGGGUUUCCCCCUUCCCAUGCGCAUGGGCCUUGGGGGGCUGGUUCCCUUGGCCCAUAAAGGCUAGGGCGCCCCCUUACAGCCCAUGCUACUGUAUUGGAUGUGGUGGAACAAUUUCCGGACCUCCGGACCCCUCCGGAAUCAUCCGGAACCUUCUGGAAGCUUCCAAGUACAAUACCGAAAAAACCCGAACUUUUUCUGGAACCCGAACAACAACUUUCCAUAUAUAAAUCUUUACCUCCGGACCAUUCCGGAACUCCUUGUGACGUCCGGGAUCUCAUCCGGGACUCCGAACAACAUUCGGUAACCACAUACAAACUUCCUUUAUAACCCUAGCGUCAUCGAACCUUAAGUGUGUAGACCCUAUGGGUUCGGGAGACAUGCAGACAUGACCGAGACGUUCUCCGGUCAAUAACCAACAGCGGGAUCUGGAUACCCAUGUUGGCUCCCACAUGUUCCACGAUGAUCUCAUCGGAUGAACCACGAUGUCAAGGACUCAAUCGAUCCCGUAUACAAUUCCCUUUGUCUAGCGGUAUUUUACUUGCCCGAGAUUCGAUCAUCGGUAUACCGAUACCUUGUUCAAUCUCGUUACCGGCAAGUCUCUUUACUCGUUUCCGUAACACAUCAUCCCGUGAUCAACCCCUUGGUCACAUUGUGCACAUUAUGAUGAUGUCCUACCGAGUGGGCCCAGAGAUACCUCUCCGUUUACACGGAGUGACAAAUCCCAGUCUUGAUUCGUGCCAACCCAACAGACACUUUCGGAGAUACCUGUAAUGCACCUUUAUAGCCACCCAGUUACGUUGUGACGUUUGGUACACCCAAAGCAUUCCUACGGUAUCCGGGAGUUGCACAAUCUCAUGGUCUAAGGAAAAGAUACUUGACAUUAGAAAAGCUUUAGCAUACGAACUACACGAUCUUUGUGCUAGGCUUAGGAUUGGGUCUUGUCCAUCACAUCAUUCUCCUAAUGAUGUGAUCCCGCCAUCAAUGACAUCCAAUGUCCAUGGUCAGGAAACCGUGACCAUCUAUUGAUUAACGAGCUAGUCAACUAGAGGCUCACUAGGGACAUGGUGUUGUCUAUGUAUCCACACAUGUAUCUGAGUUUCCUAUUAAUACAAUUAUAGCAUGGAUAAUAAACGAUUAUCAUGAACAAGGAAAUAUGAUAAUAACACUUUUAUUAUUGCCUCUAGGGCAUAUUCCAACACUUUAUAGUCAGUAAAUGAAUCUGGCAGGUUAUUUGCAAUGUGUUGCAAAUUAAUUAUUUUCCGAACUUGAAGUUCAGUUUCUUGAGUACGUGGAUCGGAGGAGGAAAUGCCUUGGGCAUUCCAAUCGAUUUCCGAGCAUUCUUUUUCGUACUUGAUUGAAGGAAAUAUGCCCUAGAGGCAAUAAUAAAGUUAUUAUUUAUUUCCUUAUAUCAUGAUAAAUGUUUAUUAUUCAUGCUAGAAUUGUAUUAACCGGAAACAUAAUACAUGUGUGAAUACAUAGACAAACGGAGUGUCACUAGUAUGCCUCUACUUGACUAGCUCGUUAAUCAAAGAUGGUUAUGUUUCCUAACCAUGAACAAAGAGUUGUUAUUUGAUUAACGGGAUCACAUCAUUAGGUGAAUGAUCUGAUUGACAUGACCCAUUCCAUUAGCUUAGCACCCGAUCGUUUAGUAUGUUGCUAUUGCUUUCUUCAUAACUUAUACAUGUUCCUAUGACUAUGAGAUUAUGCAACUUCCGUUUGCCGGAGGAACACUUUGUGUGCUACCAAACGUCACAACGUAAAUGGGUGAUUAUAAAGGUACUCUACAGGUGUCUCCAAAGGUACAUGUUGGGUUGGCGUAUUUCGAGAUUAGGAUUUGUCACUCCGAUUGUCGGAGAGGUAUCUCUGGGCCCUCUCGGUAAUGCACAUCACAUAAGCCUUUCAAGCAUUGCAACUAAUGAGUUAGUUGCGAGAUGAUGUAUUACGGAACGAGUAAAGAGACUUGCUGGUAACGAGAUUGAACUAGGUAUUGAGAUACCGACGAUCGAAUCUCGGGCAAGUAACAUACCAAUGACAAAGGGAACAACAUAUGUUGUUAUGCGGUCUGACCGAUAAAGAUCUUCGUAGAAUAUGUAGGAGCCAAUAUGAGCAUCCAGGUUCUGCUAUUGGUUAUUGACCGGAGACGUGUCUCGGUCAUGUCUACAUUGUUCUCGAACCCGUAGGGUCCGCACGCUUAGUGUUUCGAUGACAGUUAUAUUAUGAGUUUAUGAGUUUUGAUGUACCGAAGUUAGUUCGGAGUCCCGGAUGUGAUCACGGACAUGACAAGGAGUCUCGAAAUGGUCGAGACAUAAAGAUUGAUAUAUUGGACGGCUAUAUUCGGACACCAGAAGUGUUCCGGGUGAUUUCAGAGAAAACCGGAGNNNNNNNNNNNNNNNNNNNNNNNNNNNNNNNNNNNNNNNNNNNNNNNNNNNNNNNNNNNNNNNNNNNNNNNNNNNNNNNNNNNNNNNNNNNNNNNNNNNNNNNNNNNNNNNNNNNNNNNNNNNNNNNNNNNNNNNNNNNNNNNNNNNNNNNNNNNNNNNNNNNNNNNNNNNNNNNNNNNNNNNNNNNNNNNNNNNNNNNNNNNNNNNNNNNNNNNNNNNNNNNNNNNNNNNNNNNNNNNNNNNNNNNNNAGAGAGGGGCAGCCAAAGGUGGGCCACGUGCCUCCUCCCCCUGGUCCGAAUUGGACUAGGAGAGGGGGGGGCGGCGCCCCCCUUUCCUUCUCCCUCCCCACUUCUUUCCCCCUCCUAGUAGGAGUCCUACUCUUACUAGGAGGAGGACUCCUCCUUGGCGCGCCAUAGGGGUCGGCCGGCCUCCUCCCCUUGAUCCUUUAUAUACGGGGACAGGGGGCACCCCUAGACAUAAGUUGAUCCACGUGAUCAUAUUCUUAGCCGUGUGUGGUGCCCCCUUUCACCAUAAUCCUCGAUAAUAUUGUAGCGGUGCUUAGGCGAAGCCCUGCGAUGAUAGUACAUCAAGAUCGUCACCACGCCGUCGUGCUGACGGAACUCUUCCCCGACACUUUGCUGGAUCGGAUUCCGGGGAUCGUCAUCGAGUUGAACGUGUGCUAAAACUCGGAGGUGCCGUAGUUUCGGUGCUUGAUCGGUCGGGCCGUGAAGACGUACGACUACAUCAACCGCGUUGUGCUAACGCUUCCGCUGUCGGUCUACAAGGGUACGUAGAUCACACUCUCCCCUCUCGUUGCUAUGCAUCACCAUGAUCUUGCGUGUGCGUAGGAAAUUUUUUGAAAUUACUACGUUCCCCAACAUUGAUGUCUCCCCCUAAUGUCGGGAAAUGGUCCUCAUUGAAGAUGCAGUCAGCGUGACGGGCUAUGAACAGAUCCCCGUGAGGGGUUCAAGGUACUUGAUUAUCGACGGUGAUUUGUACCCCACAUAGAUCCCCAAUUUUCUGUGUGGGCCCAUGGAUGUACGCUGCGGUGGUGAGAUUGGCACAUAUGUGGCGCAUCCGAAUUUACGCAGAUGGGAAAUAUUUGGUAGGUUUCCACGUACUAAUUGCAGAGGGGAAGUGUUGUGAUAUGCAGUUGGUCGCAAUUGGAUUAAGUCGGCAUCGUGUAAAACUGCGUGACCCCAACAAGAAGUUGGUAAAUUGCAAUUCAUUAGUAAGGGUCGUGCAAUGAGCUUAAUUCUCUUAAUUCGAGAUUCGGCCAAUCCAUUUUGAGUGUGGACAUAUGGGACCGAGUGCUGAAUUUCAAUGCCUAAUGCCAUGCAAUAAUCAUUGAAAGCAUGUGAAGAGAAUUCAGCAGCGUUGCCCAUUCGAAUUGAUUUAAUUCGAUUCUCAGGAUAAUGAGCUUGCAAUUUGAUAACUUGUCUCAUUAUUUUGGCAAAUGCAUGGUUUCGUGUAGAUAGUAAACACACAUGAGACCAUCGUGUAGAUGCAUCUAUUAGAACCAUGAAAUACCUAAAAGGUCCAGACAAUGGUUGGAUCGGACCACAAAUAUCACCUUGAAUUCGUUCAAGGAAUUGUAGUGGUUCUGCUUGAAUUUUAAGAUAUGAGGGUCUUAAAAUGAGUUUCCCAGUAGCACAUGCAGUGCACAUAAAAUCUGAAGAUUGUGGGAAUUUGGCUUCAUUUAAGUCAUGACCAUUGGAAUUGCGAAUAAUUUUCCUCAUCAUCCCUAUACCAGGAUGACCAAGGCGAUCAUGCCAAGUUUGGAAUGCAUUUACAUUCUGAAAAAUUGCCUUAUACGCAAUGUGUUCUACGGGUUUUAUGUACGUGUAGUAUAAUCCUGAUGAUAAAGAGGGAAUUUUCUCAAAUAUAUGUUUGCCAUAUCCGUUGUCUUUGGUAAAGAGGAGAUAUUCCUCUUUGUUAUCUUUAUAAGUUUCAAUGUGGAAAUCAUUUUUGCGGAUAUCUCUAUAACCUAUGAGGGUACGAGUUGAAUCGGGAUACAAUAAAGCAUCCUCACUUACAAUUUGUGUACCCAUAGGGAGGGUAAAUAUGGCACGUCCUUUGCCAACAAUUACCGCAUCGCGUCCAGCGAUUGUUAAAAUAUCUCCAUUCAAUUUUGUAAGAGUUUGGAAAUACUUUAUUUCCCUAAGUAUAGAGUUUGUGGUGCCACUGUCCACAAGGAACAUUUCUUCCUCCAUUGGAUUGACUCCCGUAGAAAUCUAUAUAUUAAAAAUGUGGAAUUUUCAGUUUAAUGAAAAACACUUUAUUGGAUAUAUAGAAUACAUACAAAUUUUAUUGAUAUCAAAGUGCUGAUACAAUAUAUAUUGUGUUUUUACAAUAUAGAAUGAUGACAAUAACAAUAAUAAUAUGUUUUUAUUACAACAAUCUGAUGGAUGUAAACAAAUAAAAUAUCUAAAUGGAGUCAAUUGACUAGUCAAAGUCCCCGAACAUGUCGGCGGCGUAUUCGGUCAUCAUAUUCUCCGUGUCCAUGGAGUCCUGUGAUAUAUGGAAUUCCUUGUUGUUACUUGGUGCUCCUCGAACAUCUUGCGAACAACCAGCUUCCUAGUUGUUAUCAGGUUGAAGAUUGAAGUGAGCUUCAUAUCUUUCUCCUUGGGCUGGUCUGUUACGUCCCAUGGAUUGCAGGUAGAGGUUUACUAGAUGUCUUGGGGUGCGGCAUUUUUUGGUGACAUGCUUGUAGCAUCCACAUUUCUGGCAAAGUUUAGUUUUAUCAAACUUAUUCUUUGUUAUGCCCUUCCCCUUGUCUGAAUUUUGUGGCUUGUUCUUCUUGUUGUGGUUGCUCUUACCCUUGAAGUUCUUGUUUUGGCCUUUGAAAGAACCAUUGAACUUGGUAUUUUUCUGAAAAUUUGCAUGUACUUUAGGCAGAGGAGCCGCCCCAACUGGGCGUUGAUUACUAUUCUUUAGCAGAAGUUCAUCGUGUUUCUCAGCCUGGAGGAGCACAUGUAUAAGUUCAGAGUAAACUAUAUAAUUGCGGACACGAUAUUGUUGCUGUAGGAUCCUGUCGGCUGGGAGCAUAGUGGAUAGAGUCUUUUCUAUCUUAUCUGCUUCUGUAGGCUCCUUCUCGCAAAACCGCAACUUUGAGCAAAUUUUAUGAACCUCAUGAUUAUAAGCUCCGAUCGAUUUGAAAUCUUGGAGUCUUAAAUGGGUCCACUCAUGACUAGCUUCAGGAAGUAUAACUGCCUUUUGCUGUUCAUAUCUAGUCUUAAGUGAUUGCCACAUAUUGCUUGGAGAUUCCUCCAUCAAAUAUUUAGAUUUCGGAUCUGGAUGGAUAUGGUGCCUUAUUAUGUAUAAAGCAGCAUAUUAUUGUUGUUCGUUUAAUUGUGCAAUUCCCUCUUGGGGAGGGUCUGCAGGAGGUAUGAGUGCAGCUACAAUUCCACGGGAUGAAAGACUGAUUUUAACAUCCAUAGCCCAUGUAGGAUAGUUGUGUCCGUCGAGCGCAAGCUCUUCAAAUUCUUUGACGGUCAUUUUGUCCUACAAGAUUGAGAACCAGAUAAUCGAUCAAUUCACUUGUAUGUAAAUUAAAAUCAUCAUGGUCAUGUUGUAAUAAAUUUUGCAAUUGUUGUGAAUUCAAGUAAAGACUUGAACUUUGUUUAAAUUAUAUUCGAAUUAAGUCUAUUUUUGUGCUACAUAGGCAUUUUUGGACUUAAUUAAUGGCGAAUUAAUAUUUGAGUUGCAAGAAUAAAUGAUUUUCAAUUGCAAAAUAAUAUUAUUGUACCAUUUGUACAUGUUAUAGGGAUUUCAAAUUGCAAACACAUUGAACAUAUAACGAUUUACAGAAAUAAUAUGGUCUAAACAUCAAUACACAAUUUAAUUGAGUACAAUAUAUAAUCACAUCAAGAUACAAGGUCUAAAACAUGACAAGUACUUAAUUACAUCACUAGUAGUUGAACCUAUCUGCGAAUUCCCAAAUUUACGGGGCUAAAACAUGACAAGCACUAAAUUAAUACUAGUAGUUGGACUAAUGCACGAAAUCCCGAUAAUAUAAGGAUUUUUUUGCAAUCUAGCCUAUAACCCGUUGGGUUUUUUUUCUGGUCGUUGCAACAUGGGCCACAGCCCACGAGGCCUUUCGGCUGAGGCCCAUGGCAGCGCCGCUGAUGGAGACAUCGAGCGGAUAAGGGGGACGGGAGGUGGGGCGGUUGGGGUCAAUUCCCCCCAUUCCACCGCCACCUCCACGGGAUCCCGUCGGCCGCCGCCAAUGGCGCCCAGCGCCGGCGAUCUUCAGGAGGAGGCCCCCCCCCCCCCGCAGCGUAGCCGGGGAGGUGGAGGCCUGCAGGGGCCCAGAAGUCGGAGCGGAGGCCGGGGCGGUGCUGCUCCAGCGCUGCCGCGAAACGGCGAAGGAUCCGGCGAGCCGCCGGUGGGGGCGUUCGCGGGCUUGCCGGGGGCGGAGGCGGCGGAGAUGUUGGGGCCUUGGAAGACGACGCCGCUUCCUCGAUCUUCCUGCCGGUGGCAGUGUUGAGGUCGGGGAUGGUGGCUCCGGGUUCGUCGGUCUCCGCCGGCGUGGUUGACUCCGGCUUCACAACGGAGUUGAGCCACUGCUCCUCCUCUUCGUUCGGUGUCACCUCCCACUCCAUCAUGGUGGGCACAGGGCCAUAGCCUGGAGGGGCGAAGUGCUCCUCGUCUUCGUCGGCGGGCGUUGGCGUUGGGAGGUCCGGGUAGGCGAGCGGCUCAUCGAUGACCUCCGGUUCCGGUGGUGGAGUGGCCGGCGGUGAAGGGCAUGGCCCGUACCCGUGCACGGGGCAGAAAUCGCGGGCAGGGCAAGGGCCGUAUCCGUGCACCGGACAAAAGGCCACGCCUGCAUCCAUGCCAUUGCCGAAUAAGACCCCCGGCGGUGGCGGGGCCUGGGCGGCGUCGAAGAACUCCUCGCCCAGGAACGGGGCUGCAGCCUCGGCGGGAGCCCAGUCCAUUGGCGGAGCGACGAAGGCCGGCAUCGGGGGUGCCUGGUAGGCGUGGUGGACGGCGGCAGAUGAGUUGCUUGGUCCUGCCUGUUCUGCGGCGGCGGGGCCAGGGUGCUCCUGACGACCACGGCGACCACGACGACCGUUGCCUGGGCCCCAAUGGCGAGGAGCACCAGCACUGUGGCGUCUGGUAGAUCGACGGAUCUCCCGUCCAAUGAAUCGAAUAAGGGCAGAGGUGAUUCUAUGCAGGUUCAUCCCUGCCAUCUUACCUUCUCGUCUCUUCUUGUUCGUGCUCUGUUGGUCGAGGCUAGCGUGGCUGAUAACGUGUAAAGAUUUGAUGAAAAACUUGUAUUUUAUUGAUUCUAGGCAAAGCCCUAUUUAUACAAGAAUUUGGGGCGCCUCCGGAGAGGCGUCCAUUUACAACACGCGCCCGUGGCACGAGAAGACGCUCCAUACGGCGCUUUGGACACACGUGACGACUCUUAGUGCUAAUGACGUCGCUUUAUUCUUAACACAAGUAACAUCCCAUAAGGCCAUAAUAGUCAGGCACGGGAACACGGAAAACUGCACGAUCAAAAGGACACCCGUGGAGCAGGGAGAAGCACAGCGGUCGUUUGUGAAGAUGGGUUGAAGAGGGCUAAGGAUGUCACUGACGCGAGCGAGUGAUUCUCGUGGGUAUUGCAUGGCCCAUGGGAGCCAAUUUCAUGGAUCAAAGUAGAUCUUAUGCGCCACCCAUUUAGCAAAGCCACAAUCAAAAUAGCAAGCAAACUGCAGGUUAGUUGACACAGAAGCUACAACAGCGUGUCAAGUUUUUUUGACACAUGAUUGAAACAAGCAACAACAAGACGCAAAAGUAAAUCCAUAGCAAACGAAGUGUAAUAAUAGAUGGCAACCACUUGAUUCAAAGCCGGGAAAGGGUCAUUUUCUAAACAUGCAACACAAUAUCUCUCAAAAUCUAUAAAUCCACAAGAUCUGACUUAACAUCAUAAACGGAGUAGUACAGAACAAGUUGCAAGACACAGGAUAUCGAUAGCUUGGUAUUGUUCCAUCCUUGAACGAGCAUGGAAUUACAGCCUCCUUCCUCUUCUACCACCCUUCCGGCGGGUGCUGUCAGUUGGGACCGGGGUAACAUCCUCUGCUCAACACAAAAAG
rnacentral:lncRNA from 1 species